rnacentral:lncRNA from 1 species
AAAUUUGGGAAGACAUUCUAUCUGAUCUCAACAUCUUAACAGAAGUUGACAAGAAGAUGAAGGUUGAAAAAUUAGCAGUGAAGUUAUCUAGUUUCUUGGAGGAAAACAAAUGUUUGGUGAUACUCGAUGAUAUCUGGAACACCAAAGCUUGGGAUAGCUUAAAACCAGCAUUUUCAGCAAGAGAGACGAAAAGCAAGAUCUUACUCACCUCUCGGAACAAGGAGAUAGUUGCACACGCCGACAAAAAUGGUUUCUUCUAUGAGUUGCAGGAACUAGACUACAAUCAGAGCUGGGAACUAUUUCAAAAGAUUGCCUUCCCCCAAUCAAAUUCUCUAGGUAAUAUGUUUAUUGAUUUCAUAAUCGCAAAAUUAUUCUAUCUUAAUAUAUAUUGCAACAUUUGCUCUACAUUCUAUUUUUUUUUGGCAAAAAGAAUUUUAUAUUUUAAAGUUACAUAAUAAUUUAUUUUGUUCACUAAUUUUACAAAAAAAUUCAUUUGAGCCAUCCAUUUAUUUAUUUUUAUUUUUUUUAGCCAUCCAUUUUAGACAUACACAUGACAUUUCAUGUACGUCAGUAACUAAUUAAUUAUUUUAAAUUAAAAAUAUUAAAAUACAUAUUUAUAAUUUUUUAUAAAUUUUAAGAAUAAUUAAUUUUAAAAAAUAAUUUUUAUAAUUUAUUUCAAUUUUUAAAAUUUUAAAAAUUAAUUAAUUGCUUACAUCACAUCUACGUGUAUGUCACUUCAAUAAAGUUAAUAUAUGUUUAGUCAUCAUUCUUCUGAAUUUGUUUCUAGUUUGUUAAUUGAUUUAUUGUAUGAAUUUUGUAAUUUUUAUAAUAAAUUUGAUCAUAUUUGUAGUUUAUUUUGGUAAACUUAUAUAAAGUAGUAUCUAAAUAUUAAAUCUAUAAAAAAUAAAUUUAAAUGAGCAAUUAAUUUUUUUUGAUCAUAUUACUAAAUUCACAUCUAAAAAAAUUGAAGUAAACUAGAAGUUAAGAUAAUUUAUUUUACUUCAAUAGAGUUAUUACUUGAAUGUAACUCUAAGCAUAAAAUAUAGAAAAAAAAGUUGUGAUAAUUGUAAUUAUUAUCAGUUAAAAAUUGAUGUAAAAAAGAAGGUAAGUUAAUUUUAUUAAUAAAAAAUAGAGUUAUUACUUGAUAAAAAUAGAGUUAAUUAUAUUCAUUAGUUUUUAUGCUGAAUAAUGUUUUUUUGUAUUAAUUACAUAAAAUAAAACUAUAUUAUAUGUUGAAUAUGUUAAGAAUAUUUUAGUUAUGAUUUGAAAAUUUUAUAUUAUAAUAUUUGAAUUAAUAAGUUUAUAUAUUUUAAUUAUAUUCAAUAUUUCAUACAAGAAAUAUUAUUUUACAUUAAUUACCACAGAUAAAAAUAAAAUAUUUUAAAAUUUUAAUCAAAUAGUAAACAUAUAAAAUCACAUGCAAUACAUAUGAUAAUAGAAAUUAAUAUAAUAAAAGCUGUAAACUUUUAGCAUAAUUAUUGCAAUUUCAUGAAGUUAGUUAAAUUUUGAUAUUUUUUUGUACAAAUAAAAAUACUAUAAAACCAGGUGUUUCAAUGUCAUAAAUCAAUUGUAGGGAUUUACUAAAUUAAAUUAACUUUCAUUCGUAUGAUUCAUUACAGAAAUACAUAUUACGAGGAGAAAUCAUAACACCAUAACACAUUUGUAGAGAAUUGUAAAUCAAUUGUAGGAAUUUACAUUUGAUAUACUAAGUGUAUAAGUGAAUCACAUGCAAGAAAUCACUUGUCAAAAACCAUUUUAUUUAUUUUUAAUAACUUUUAAAAUUGUUAAAUUGGUGGUAAUAUUGUGGUUAAUCUAUCGGCAACUUGCAUUGCAUCCUGCUUCACUAAUUAUUUGAAAUUCUUGAGUAUGUUAAUAUUGUGGUUAAUUACUAAAAUGUAAUGUUGUGGGUAACUUGCAUUGCAUCCUGCUUCACCAACUAUUUGAAAUUGUUUAAGAUGUCAAUGUUGUGGUUAAUUACUAAAUUGUAGUCUGGUUUUGAAGUUAUUACUGAUUUUUUUUUGAAACUUUGUUUUGGUAUUAUACAGGCUAUAAAAUUGAUGCGAAAAUGAAGGAGUUGGGAGAGGACAUCGUUAAACACUGUGCAGGGCUUCCAUUAGCCAUCAUUAUAUUGGGAGGAAUUUUGGCUACAAAGUAUCCUUCAUUAACUGAAUGGCUGAAGGUAUCUGCAAAUGUGAAAUCAUACUUGAAUAACGAUAAAGGUGAAGUACUAAGAGAUGUGUUGGCAUUAAGUUAUGAUGAUUUGCCUCCCUAUUUAAGACCAUGUUUUCUUUAUUUAAGCCACUAUCCGGAAGAUUAUGAGAUACCUGCGGAUAGAUUGAUUCAGUUAUGGGUUGCCGAAGGUAUUGUUUCAUCAAAGCAAGAAGAAGGAGAUGAAGGGCAAAAAGCGGAAGAUGUGGCUGAAGGUCAUUUGCUGGAGCUUGCAGAAAGAUGUAUGAUUCAAGUACGAGAAAGAGACAUUGCAACCUUAAAGAUAAGAAGUUUUCAGAUGCAUGAUCUAAUGAGAGAUGUUUGCUUGUCCAAGGCAAAACAACAAAAAUUCCUCUAUAUUGCAGAUCAGUCAAAUGUGUGCCAGUUAUCCACUAUUGGGAGGGUUCGCAGAGUUUCUGCACACAAAUUUUUUUGGAUACAGUGCAUUAAAAGUCCACACCUUCGAUCACUUUUGUUCUUUGAUAAGUUUUUACUGAGGGAGGAAGAGAAAAAGGUUUUGCCAUUCCAAAGCUACACCAACAACCGCAGAUCAGAAGAAAGUUUCAAUGCACUGGAUUGCUUUGUUGCAGUUUUAAUAGGUAUUGUGAUAGUUACUAAAAGGAGGGGAAUUUGGAAAUAUAUGUUCAAUAAUUUUAAUUUUCUUAGAGUCUUAGAUUACGAAAGUGGAGGAGAAGCAGGAUGCAUGUUACCCAAUGACAUUGGUAAACUCAUCCAUUUAAGAUUCUUGAGACUAAGGGAUUUGGAAUUCAUGAGUGCAAAGUUGCCAUCAUCUCUAGGCAACUUAAGGUGCUUGCAAACAUUGGAUUUAAGAAUAGAAGGCAGAUGCUCAGACUCUAUGCAUGUACCUAACGUGUUAUGGAGGAUGCAGCAACUAAGGCAUCUAUAUCUCCCCGAGGAAUGUAAUCGUAAAACAAAGUUGAAGCUGGGUACAUUGAGAAGCCUCCAAACACUUGUCAACUUCAACACCAAGAGUUGUUAUAUAAAGGAUCUUAUCAACAUGACUAAUAUUAGAGAGUUGGAAAUUCGAGGGCCCUUCAAUAUUGAAGAUUUUAACACGGAGGAGUUGGGCAAGAAUCCACUCAUCGUCCAAAGUAAAUAUCUUCAUUCCUUGUCUAUCAUCAAUUAUGAAGAAGGAAUAGAUCCAAGACAUUUGGCACACCUCCUUUCAAGUUGUGAUAGCAUUUCUAAGUUGAGCUUAGAUGCGGAGAUAAGAAGGUUACCAGAGUACCACUACUUGUCUUCAAAUCUCGCUUACAUAAAGUUGAGAAGGUGUAUGCUUGAGGAAGAUCCAAUGCCAACACUUGCGAAACUGCCUUACCUAAGUAUGCUUGAAUUACAUGAAGAGGCUUUCAUAGGAAAGGAAAUGUUUUGCUGUGGACAAGCUUUUGCUAAACUUGAGUCUCUAAGCCUUAAGAAGCUGAACUUUCUGGAGGAGUGGAAGGUGAGUGAAGGAGCCAUGCCUUGUCUUCGGCGAUUGGAGAUACAAAGAUGCAGACAGCUAAAAAAGCUUCCAGAUGGACUGAGGUUCAUUGCAACCCUCCAAGAACUGAAGGUUGUUACAAAGAUAAAGACAUUCAAGGAUAAAGUGGAAGAAGGGGGAGAAGAUUUCUACAAAGUCCGACAUGUUCCUUCUAUCAUAUUGCAAUACACUUUAUGGUAGUGAUUAUGAUUAAUGCCAGGUAAUUCAUAAUCUUUGUUUUAGGAAAUACUUAACCCAUUUGUUUAUACAUAAAAAUCCACAACUAUUUUGCAUGUUUAUACAUCAUAUUGACAAUUUUUUAAUAUUUCCUCUUCAGGUAUUGAAGCCCUUGCCAUUUUUUUUUAUUCUGUUGCUUCUCUUCAUGGGACCAAAUAUAUGUAAAAAAAGUUGUAACAGUACUGUGUGAAAUUGUGUACGUGGUGUGAACUUUUUUGUAUUGUAAAAUUAGAGAUUUGAAGUUGUCUUGUAUUUUCUAUUCGCUAGAGAUUGGGUGUUUUUUUUUUUUUGUUAUAAAUUUCAAAAUUGUAAGGUGCAAAAUUAUGAAAAGCUUUUUAGGUAACUUCUAUUAUACUGUACAUCCCUUGCUUUAAAAUUUUAAAAUUUUAAUAUGAUAAUAAUAUCAUAGUGUGAUGCAAUAAUUCAAUUUUUAAGUAAAUGAAUUUAAAGGUAACAAUAAUUAGAAAAAGCAUGGUAAGUAUGUGAUUGAAUUAGUGUCAUUAAUCAACUUGAUAUUAAUUCAGUUAAUGAAUUUUCAAAAAUAACCUUACAUAUUUUAACUAAGUUAUGGGUAAUGCGUAUUCGGUAAAUAUACUUUCAUAAAAUAUCUAAUUUGAUACCUAUACUUUGAAAAUGUUCAAUGUAGUACCUAAAUUAUUUUUUUAAAAAUUUUUCUAAAAAAAAUAGAAUUUUAAAAAUUUAACAUUAGGGACUAUUUUUAGCAUUAUACCUUUUAAAUUCAUCGAGGAAAAAUUUUACUGUAAUUUUAAAAUUUUAUCAAAGUUAUGCAAUCAUAUUUGGUUCUUGAUGGUACUAUAUUUUUUUAGUUUUGGAUCUGUAAUUUGAUAGGGUCUUUUCCUUCUUCUUUUGUCUUUUUAAUUCAAGCAAUUUGAUUUGGUUUUCUAGAGUAUUUGAUCCAUAAAAGUAUCACAUGUAUUAUAUUUUAAAUUACAUUUUAGUUUUUGUAUUGAAAAAAUGGACGAGUUAAUCUUAUCUGCUAGCUAGAUGAGUUAAAAAAAUAGCCCUUCCCUUAAAAUUUGGUUUUAUAUAUAAGAUAUAAUAAUAAAUUUAGCCCUAACAUUUAUAUAUUUGAACCCUACUCUUUUAUUGGAAGUAAAUUAAAAAAAUUUUGAAACUAAUAAGACUAAAAAGUUAAAAAGGCUUUAAUAACAAAUUAAAAAAAUCAAUUAAGCUAUUUUAAAAUUUAAAAACUAUUAAAAAAUUCAUAAAAUUAUAAAUAAAAUGUUAUAAAAGUUUUAAAAUUAUAAAAUAUUUAUUAAAAAUAAGAAUACCAAUCCAUUAAAUCUAAUAGUUAUAAGAUUUUUCAAAAAUGACCCUACUCUUUUAUUGAGCCAGUAUUGUUAUUUAUUAAAAAAAUUAUAAAUUUAUAUAUAUUAAUAAUUUACCUUAAGACCUAACAAUUUACCUAGUUCCAAAGCUUCUAUAGCCUCUUCAAAAUUACAUUCUUACCAUUCUUGAACAGUAACCGAAAGCGAUUCAAUGACAAAUUUCUUUAACGAUUUAGUACAAGCCAAUAAUCUAGAAAUGUCCCUUUCUUGGUCUGCCUCAUCUCUUUUCCAUUGCCUCAUCUUUUUUUUUCUCCUUAAGCUCACAAAUUCGUCAUCAUCAAAAUCAUAGAUGCUUCUUACUUUCCUGUUAUUGCGCAUGAUUUAAAAUUUGCUCUAAAUUUUUAGAAUCGCUUUUGAUGCAUAUUCCCGGUGAAACAAUGCAGUUUGUCCCAUCCUUGUAAGUUCUCACUUCUUCAACCAUCACGUAAUAUCUCUCAUUGGCCUCACUAGGAUCAUAAUCAUAUCCUUUUCUAGCCCAAAAUCAAAUUGUUACCUAAUUAAUUGAGGGAGGAUCAGCUUUUUCUAAAACAAAAUUUGAAGUAUCGUUCGCUUAGCAAUCAAUUUGGAGCCCUAACAAACGAUGCUAUCAUCUCCUGAAAAAGUCUUUGAAAUGGUUGCCCUAAGGGUCUAGUUCAUAGAACCCAAGUGGUGCUAGAUACCCCAAACAAGUGACCUAUACUCACAUCACUUCUCUAUCUUUGUCUUCCUCUCAUUUUCUUAACCAUGACAUUUUGAUGUAUUGUUUGGAUGUGUUUUGCCUUAUGCUGAUCUAUUUUGUUGUGUUCCUGUGAUGUUUUUUUUUUUUUGGCUUCAUUCAAUCUAUUCUGUUGUUAAAAACAAACAGAAUAAUGUUCAAAAUUUUAACAUUACAGCAUUCCAAAAGAAACACGUUCAAUCACUAACAGACCUACUUUUACAUCAAAGCAAUAGCUCACCACCAAGCUUUAAACAUUUUCUCAAGAUUUAUACAUGCAAUCGCCAAGGAAGAUGCCAUUUCGUUUUCAUUCUUUUAUGCCAUAAAAAAAAAAAACAUUUCUUAUCUUCUCAAUGUCUCUUUUAAUAUCUGCGAAAGUUGCUUGAAGUCACUAUGGUCUCAUCAACUUAUUUGCACACCAAUAAAACACCACUAUUGAACCAAGUUCUAUAAAUAGAGAAUCAUUUAGCUUCCAUUUCAUAGCUAAAAAUACUUCCAAUGCUACCAUCACCGCACCAAUCUCUGCCAAAUCAGUAUCAUCUGCUGCUACGGAACCUGAAAAUAAAGCUCUUGCGACUCCCUCCUUAUCUCUCAAGACACCUCCACAACCUACUCUAUCCUCAUUUGCAAUUCCACAAACAUUAAAUUUUAAACAACCAUGUAGAGGAGAGCGCCAUAACGAUGCAGCUAAUUUGGAUUUAAUUGAAUCAAUCCUGCACCUAUUUGGACAUAUCCACCAAAAGUUCUCUUGCAAUAUAAAAUUCAUCAUAAACAGAUUUAAUCCAUAGCAAUGCCCUUAUCUUUGAUUAAAAAACCAAAUUUUUCAUAGUCAUCAUCCUUCUUUCAAAGACCAUACAAUUUCUUGCAAACCAUACUGUCCAGCAGGUUGCCGAAAUUAUAUGAACAAAAAAAUUUUCGUCAUUUCAGCCAUUUUCAUGUUAUUACACAAUGACUAGAAUUCCUCAAAACCAUCUACAUGUUUUCAACUAACCUCCCACCAAUUGAAUAUUUUAACCCAAAAACCUUCAAUAAAUUUGCAUUUGAAGAACAAAUAGUUUGCACUCUUCGGAACUCUUUCGCACCAUGGACAGCUAAUCGAGAUGUUUUGAAGAUUCACCCCUCUUUUGACCAGAAAUUCCUUUGUAGGAAUUCUGUCAAUAGCAAGCAUCCAUAGAAAACUUUGUACUCUUGGUGGUACCUUAAGUUUCCAUAUUUUAUCAAAAGCAAAAUUUGUAUCCUCCCCUCCAUCCAUUAUCAAUAUUUCAGAGCAUUUUCUUACCGAAAAUUCCCUGUUUCUAUGAUUUGCCCAACAAAACUUAUCCUCUACAUCUGAAACUAACACUGUCCUACUCACCCUCUCCACCAAUUUGCUAAGCAUCACCUCCUCUUUUCCCAAUAACGAUCUUGUAAAGAGGUCGUUCCAUUCUUCUCUACAAAACCCAUAAUUUCUUAUAAAAUCAGCUAUCGUUCCUUCCUUUUGUCUUGUAAGGCGAAAUAGACUUGGAAAUUCCUGUUUUAAUGGAAGAUUACCACACCAUAUGUCCAUCCAAAACAUCGUGGUCCUACCAUUCCCAAUCCUCCAGCAAAAAGAGUCCAUCCCCACCCAAAUCCAUUCCCAAUCCUGUGAUGUUAAUACUUGGAUUCUAAGAUUUUAAGCACAACGUAAAUAUUGUGACUAAGAAUUUGAAUAAGGAAUACAUACAACAAACGGCACAGCCAAAAAAUGAAAGAGUAGCCCCAACAUAAAACUCUGAUUGCUUCAAUGGUCAAUCCAUCUAGCAAUAGCCAAGCACACAAAAAUUAAGUUUUUAAUUUAGCUUUGAUUCUAGAAAAUAAUAUAUAUAAAUUUAAACAUAUUAAAAUGAUAUAUAAAAACUCUAAAAUUUUAUAAAAUUAUAUUCUACAACUAUCAAGACUAUCAAAAAUAAAUUCCUACUCAAAAGUAAUUUUGCAAAUAGCAGUGAGUAAGGUCGAAUCCACGUCUACCAGUGAUUCUAUUUCAUCAAUAAAAAUAAACAAAUUAAAUAUGAUGAGGAUUUUUAUAAAACUAAAAUAAUUAAAACUAUAACUAAAGAAAAAUAAAAUUCAAACUUAGUAGAAAAACAAUAAUCAAAAGUUGAGAGAAAGUCAAAAGGUAAAACUUUGACUAAAGGUAAAAUCACAGUUCGAUUCAUAAGUUUGAUCAUUAAGAAAAGAUGAUUUUGAGCCGUGCUUUAAUAAAUUGAUUAUAAUUCUCGAUGAUCAUCUAGCAACUAAUCUCUUCUUACCUUCUUGAUAAAUAAGACAAACGCUAUUAAUUAAUUCCCUUAUUGAUAAACAAUCAUAUAAUGACCACUUUAAAUUUAAUCUAUCAAUAACAUUAAGAAUGAAAGAGACCCAAUUCUAACCAACAAAUUUAAAUAUACAAUCAAAGUUUAUUUAAGUUGGACCAUAUGCCCAUACAACAUAGAAUGCAUAUCUUUGUCAUUCUCACCUACAUUGCUUAUCACUAGUAUACAAUUAUUGAUUUGACACUUCUAACUGACAAGACAAAUAUUCUAAUCAAUUAAAUAUGAGUCAUAUAUUCAACAAACCUAAAUAUUUGCAAUUAAAUAAGAAGAUAUAUGAAUAUUAAAGAACAAAGAAAGAUGAAGAACAUUUAGAUGUGACAAAAUCUUCAAGUCAAACUUCGAAUUUCCUUCAACUAGAAAAAAAUUUAGCAAGUCAUGGAGAAAAUAGAACACAAAAGUAAAAAUAAUGCUAAGGGGUGACUAUGUCUAGGUAUAUCCCUAUAUAACUUAAUAAUAUCUAUUUAUAGAGUAAAAAGCACAUAAUGAAAAAAACAUACAAAAGUGUCCUUAAUUAAAGAAUAUUUAUAGGUUUCUUGGUAAUUUUUGCGUCAAAAUUUCAAGCAAAUUUCGGACACAUUCCCAAUAUUUUUUUAGCUCGAGUUGUGAAAUAACUUUUUUUUUAGAUAUUUUGAUUCCUUUCGAAUCGGUUUAUUAUGAGACAAAAUAGAAUUUUGUAGCUCAAGUUAUGACAAAAAAAAAAUACUAAAACUUGUAAAAAAAAAAACUAAACUCUUUUUUCUUCAAUUAUUUCCUAAAUCUAUAAUAAGUAAAAUAUAAUUCUUAAUAAUAUAAUUAAUUAUUUAAAUAGAAUAAUUCAAUAAAAUAAAUAUAAAAAAUAAUUAGAAAAUUACAUACUUAUCAAAUUUCCCUACAUUUCAACUAUGCUCGUCCUCAAGCUUGAAACUAAUGAAAAUGCAUAUACAUAUACUUACUCAAAUCAACAAUUAAAAAUAUCGUUAUAUUUCAAUGAAACAAGAAAAUAUGCUUUUAUAAAUAGAACCCAAAUCUAAAUUUUAUAUGAUAAUAAAAAUUAUAAGAGUAACAAUAAUUUAUACAAUAACCCAAAACACAAAUCCAACCAAAGAAAAAGACAUGAAUAUGUUAACUGUAAACAAAAUACUAAUAAUAUUAAACAAGCAAAAUAUAAUAUAUAAAAAGUGACUAAACACAAAUUUAGGGCCAAAUUACCAAAAAAAGCCCCUUUUUUUUUAAAUUACGGAAAUGAGCUGGUUUUUUAAUUAUUUACCGGAAUGGGCCAUUUUCCGCGAAAUCGCGGCCACGUCAGCGCGAUGUCGGGGAACUUGACAGGAGAUCGCGUCCACGUCAGCGCGACCUGCCGACGUGGAAGGAAAUCGCGUCCUUGAGGAAACGAUUUCCUUCCACGUCAGCAGGUCGUGCUGACGUGGACGCGAUUUGCCCGGGCGAGUGACCCAACGGUCAAAAAAUUGACCGUUGCCCCCCCCAACGGUAAAAUUUUUUUUAAACUAUAUAAACCCCCCACCCCUUUUAUUUUCACAAACAAAUUCUCAAAUUCCUUCAAAAAUUCUCUCAAUUCCCUUCCAAAAUUCUCUCAAACUCCCAAAUUCCUUCCAAAAUCCUCUCAAUUUCCUUCAAAAAAUCUCCAAAUCCAUAUUAAAUUUAUUUUUCCAUUAAAUUUCAUUUUUUAAGAAAAUUUUACAAUUUUUUAUUUUUUAAAAAUAAUUUUAAAAUUUUUAAUAUUUUCGACAAUGGCCGGAUCAUUGAUUCGUCUUGAUAGGAAUCACAUAUCGGUGGAGCAAAUGAACAUGGUAAGUAUUAAAUUUAAAUUUUAUAUUUUAUUUAAGAUAUUUUUAUUUAUGUAUUUUUAGAUAUUUAUUGAUUUAUUUUUUGUUAUAAAAGGCUAAAGAUCGCGUAUUGGAAUGCAAUAUUCGGAAUAUGCAUGCUCCUCCAUCACCGUUAGUAGAGAACUACCUCCGGGAAGCGGGAUUUUGGCACGUGGCGACGGUAGGCCGGGGAUGCAAGUUGGAGCCAAAACUGAUCAGUGCGUUGAUCGAGAGGUGGAGACCCGAGACGCACACAUUUCAUCUUCCAUGUGGAGAGUGCACUAUCACUCUAGAAGAUGUCCAUCUACAUUUGGGAUUGUCGGUGGACGGACACCCAGUGACCGGGUCUGCCCAAUCUAGCAAUUGGGAGGCGGUGUGCUACGAGCUUUUGGGCGCCGUUCCGGAUAAAAUGGAUGGAGGUAAUGUGGAGAUGGGCUGGUUACGUGCGACCUUCUCCGAUCUGAAUGAAAAUUCAACCGACAUUGAAAGAAUCCGAUAUGCUCGAGCAUACAUUCUUCAAAUAAUUGGAGGCUAUCUCAUGGUCGACACGUCACGGAGCCGUGUACAUCUAAGGUGGCUGCUAAAUCCCAGUCAUCAGACGACUCCACCGGUGUUAUUGCAUAUGCAAUUGGAAGAAUUCUCCCACCGCCGUCCUGUGCCACUGCAACCAAUAGCCGAUGAGUGUACCUACCGAACAUGAAGGUACCGUCAAUUUGUACCAACGGCUUGCAGUACGGAAAUGCGUCUCGACAUUGCUUAAAGGUCCAAAAUAGGCGUUUGAACACUUGGCAUCCACGUAGCAAUCGGCCGUUGUAGUACGCAUGUUCCGUUUGAAGGUCUGUGAUGGCGCCUGGGACGUAUCUCUCUAGCACCUGACACCAUUGCCAUAUUUCAUUAUAUGAGGCGUCCCACCCACUAUGCAUCUUCUCCAAUGCCUUUUGCUUAGCUAUCCAAGCCUUGCGGUAAGAGGGCGUGUACCCCAUUUGGCUACGGAUAUUGGCAAUUAUCAUCGGCACUGAAGUCUGAGGAUCUGCUUUUAUCGUGGGCAGUAUCAAGCUAGCCAACAUAGCUGAAUCCAUUUUCGGAUGAUCUUCUGAAACACCUACAGAGGGAGGGAGUACAUUAAAUAAUGCAACAUUGGAAAAAAAAUAUUAUUCAGAGACAUUCAAUACUGUACCUGCAGCACAUGUAUGUGGACCUCUGUACUUUUUUAUCUCCCACAACCCUGUCCUCUUCCUUAACGAGGCGACGAUUUUCCAUGAACAUGUGCCGUCUUGCACCGCACACUUCGCCUCAAACUUAUCAGAUUUUGAUUUAAUGACAUGGUAAUUAACGCCGUUUUUGAUGCUAUGCUGUUUCAAAGCACCAAUAAAACUAUCCUUAUUGGUAAACUGAUUACCAACUUCAAGUUCACCGAGAUCUACCCCCGAACUUGUACGAUCGCGCACCCGGUGUGGUAGAUUUGGAAACUCUAACGCAUCAUCAUUUGACAGAUCGACAUUAUGCAUGUGGGCUGGAGGUGAGUAUGCUCUGAAUCGUGGAUUUUCUUCAUCAUCUGCACUCCUAUCACCAUCUUCACCUUCUGUUGGAAUAGGCUCCGGUUCAGAAAAUAAUCCCACCUCUGCACCAUCUGGCCCGGGCUCUCGAGGUGGAUCAACAUCGGAGUCACCUUCUGACCCACAAUCAUCUGCAGCGUACGACGUCCCCUCACCGGUUGAUGUCGUAGGUAGUACGUCAUCCCUUCUGGGCAUUUGAUAACGUCCUCAAUUGGAUGUAGAUUUCCAUCUAGUAGAACUUGAUGCAGAACCCCAGCUCGUAUUUCCUGCGUCAAACGUCGAGCCACCGACGUACAUGUCCCAUCCACCAACAGAGUGUCUUGGGGGGGAAGUGCAUUCGACACCGCUACCGAACAUGGGCUGUUCUGUAUUUUGUAACACGCUAACGGAGUGUCGGCCAGGGGUCGUGUAUACAUCUCGAACACCGGACGGAAGUACAUCAGUUGGCGACGUAAAUUGUACAUAUAACUCAAUAUAAGUUACUCCGCUAGCAAGAUGAGUCUGCACCAUUGCCUCCAAGCUACGAGCACCUUUUAUGUCGAACGAGUCAUAUGUCACCGGAUCAACAGAAGAACAAAAUCGAUACGUCAUUGACAGAACUUUCAUUGGCGUCGUUCCGAAGAUUUUACGCCUAAUUCUUUUACGGAGUUCUGUCAAAUCUAUGUUUUGGCUAAAUGACAGUCGCACCGUAUUCUCUGACAAAAAAACAACACCAUUCUCGGUGUGGCAAACCUCACCAUCGUAGUAAAUAACAGCACUAAUACGUUCACUCAUUUUGAAACUCUAAGUUUCUUAGCCUCUCUAAAAUUUUUCUGCUGUGAGUUAUGCAUUCUGUGGAACAUUUUCUGCCUAAUUUAUAGCCUCAGCCCAAACUUGCUACUGUAGCAAAAUCGCGUCCACGAGGGCGCGAUUUGACACUAUUUGCUCAGAAACGUCAAAAAAAUUAUUUCCUACAUGACCAACUGUAGCGAAAUCGCGUCCACGAGGGCGCGAUUUCACAAUUUCUGCCCAAUAUAGCAUCCUUGUAUCAGCGAUUUUAUACUAUUUGCUCAGAAAACGUCAAAAAAAUUAUUUCUUACAUGACCACUGUAGCGAAAUCGCGUCCACGAGGCCACGAUUUCAUAAUUUCUUCUCAAAUAGCAUCCUAGUAGAAGCGAUUUCCCACUAUUUGACCAGAUACGUCAAUUCGAAAUUUUUUUUUCCGGGACCCCUAACCCCUAAAAAGCCUGCACCCUAAACCCUAAAAGCCAAAAAACACAAACGUAAAAUCAGCGUCAAAAUCGCGUCCACGUCAGCGCGACCUGCUGACGUGGAAGGAAAUCGCUUCCUCAAGAACGCGAUUUCCUUCCACGUCGGCAGGUCGCACUGACGUGGCCGCGAUCUCCUGUCAUGUACCCCGACAUCGCGUUGACGUGGCCGCGAUUUCGCGGAAAAUGGCCCAUUCCGGUAAAUAAUUAAAAAACCGGCCCAUUUCCGUAAUUUUAAAAAAAAUGGGCUUUUUUUGGUAAAUUAGCCCAAAUUUAGAUUAUAUCACAUUUUUAAAAUUAAACUAUUUGCUCACUUCAAUUAUGUUAUACAAUGCAUAUGAAAUUUAAUUUAAUUUUUUAUAUUUCAAAAUAUAAAUCUAAUUGCUAUUAUUGUUAAAAUAUUUUUGUUAAAUUCACUGAUACGACACUUUCAAUUUCUUUUUAAAGAAAAAUUCACUUAGAAGUCGUGUAACAAAAAAAAAAUUGACAUUGUAAUGAACUUGAAUUUAAUAGAAGAAUUUUAAUGAUAUUAAUAAUUGGACUUGUAUUUUUAAAUCCUAAAAAUAGAGAUCUUAAAAUAAAAAUAGAAAGAUUAAUUUCCAAAUGUUCAAAGAGUAAUGGACUUGGAACAUAUUUUAACCUAUUUAUUCACGUGGCUAAUUUAAAAAUGCUUCCAAUACAUGUAAUGUAAGCCACAGGAGCAAACUUUUUUAUUUUAAAAAUGUCACAUGAUCUAAUUUAAUUGAAGUCCUUUGAGAAUGUUAUCAAUCAGACUUUAAUUAUUAAAUCAAAACAAUAGAGUUUUGGGGAAAUUCUAGUGAUUAAAAAGAAAAGGACUAAAUGAAACGUACAAGGAUCGGAAGCAAAUUAGACCAAUUACCCAAAUUCCUUUUUAUCCGAUCUAAGAUAGCCUUCUCCAGAUUCGGCUGGCCACUUGGCUUGUAAGACCCGUUGUCAGUUACCGCUCUCCUUAGAUCCCUCUCUCUUCUUUAUUCUUCCUUUUUUCUUAAUUUUAGUUUGAAUUUUCGUCAGCUUCGUCUGUCUCUGGGAUCCUACAUAUUUUAUUCAUAAUCGAUUUGAAUAUCCACACUCAAUUCUCAUUCUGAGUUUCUUUCGUUAGGUCAUCCUAAUUAUCCGAGUGAGAAAAAUAGAUUAGAGGCCGCAGUCAAUUCUCUGUUUCGAUUCUAAAUCUGUAGGGAAGUGUGAGAUGGAGGGAUCACCUCCACCAUGAAUGCAGAGAGACGAUGGAUAUAGAAGAAUAUAAAAAAUUCAAGCCUUCUUUGGUCAUGUCUUUUUUAUCCUGCGUCGCUUACCACUAUACUGGCUGGUUCCUUCUUCUUUUUUAUUCUCAAUAUUCAAUUCCAUGCCAUCUGUUUCCUCGAAUUUAGGUUUUUCAUAUAGGAUUGUAUUUUAAUUAAUAGGAACUUAUCAUAUUAAAAGUUUGGUAACGGAAAGAAAGAGAAAACUUAUCUUUCCCAUUUUCUUCUUCAACAUUUGGCUAUAGGCAAAACAAAAGAAAAGUUUAGGUUUUCCUUGCAAAUCACCAUAACCGUGAGCUUGCCAAAGGUUCUAAGUAAGUUUUCUUUCUUAAUUUUUAUUAAAUUAUGCUUUAAGGAUGUUGAAUUUAAUUAGCCCAUGUAUUAGAUUUGAGAAUUGUUAAGAUAUUGAUUGAAUCACCAUGGUUGGAAGUUUUAAGGAAAUCUUGAAUGUUAUAGUUUAAAGUCAUGCACGAGUAAGGCUAAUUAUUGAGGACCUAGGUGUAGAAGAUAAAAAUUUUGAGGUUUGAAAAUGAACAAUAGUUAUGAGUGGUCCUCUGUUAUAUUUAUAAUUAGAUUUAAAUUCGAUCGUAUAAAUUGUGAGAUAUGAGCUUUUUGAAUAUUAGGAGCUUGAGGGAUCAAUUUGUAAUAAAUGCAUUCAUGUUUAGAUGGUCGUAAUCUAUGUUCGAAUUGUGUGAUUAACAAGUUUUUGUAAUUCGAAUUUAAUUUCCUCGCUAAAGAGGGUAUCAGACCAUCCUCAACAAAGGGAAAUUCACAACCGUCGACGAAUAAUCAUUUUUAGUUUGUGCUUAUAUAAUUCACUUUUAAUAACUGGUUCAUAGUCUAGUGUCAUUAUAAAUAACUACGAAAUAAAUGCGAGGUAAUUGUAUCUCUCUCUAAAAUUAUGAGAAAAUGAAUUUGAUAUCGCGUGGAAUUCGAGUUAUGCGUGAUUGACUUGUGAUUUGUAUAUGGAUGUACAUAUAUGUUUGAUAUAAAUGUGUAUAUAUAUAUACAUUAGUUUUAUUGAAAAGAUUGUGAAACACACGGAAAGUGUCCAUUAAGACAAAACACACAAGGGCCACCUUUUAUGGUUACAGAACAACACAACAUACAAUAAAACACCUAGGUAGCACACUUAUAAAACAUCUACAGAAAAAGGCCCACCUACCUCCAAGCAAUGAGGUUUUCUGUGCUCUACCCAUUGCUUUUUUUUCAAAAAGAAAAAAUCGCUGAAGAGUUCACCUCUCUACCUUUUUGUAAAUCUUUGUUGAACUCGCUCGACGAUCCUAAUCAACCACCAUGGUUUUCCAGUCGCGAAUACGAUGUAUCCCAUACUCAAUCCUAACACCAAUCCACAUCCAUACCCCAUCAAAAUAGAAAAUUUCCAAUUCAAUUCAUCAUCAUCUCUAUCAAAUUUGACCAAAGUUCCCCUAUAAUUAUCACAUCUUUUUGAUAAUGGCAAGCCGCAUAAACCCAAGUUUUCUUUGUAAGAAUCAUUAGUGAAAGUAUCAAAUUGUUUGCCUUGAGGAAUGGGUCCCUCGAGAUUAUUUUGAGAAAGGUUUAGCACCUCUAAGAAUCCAAGAUUUGUUAACUCUGUUGGAAUUCUUCCUUGGAACUUGUUUGAUGAGAGAUCUAAUGAUUCAAGUUCAGACAAAUCACCUAAUGAUGAUGGGAUAGGACCUGUUAAGCAAUUAUGAGAGAGGUUUACGAUAAUAAGUGAAUGAAGCUCACCAAGUGUUUUGGGCAAUUCUCCGAAGAAUUGGUUGUCUGAAAAGUCAAUUACCAUCCAUUUGGUUAACAGUGAUUGAAACUCUGUUGCCGACCCUUUUACUGUAAAAGAUAAACCAUAAGCAAAAUUGAAAGCAACAUAAUCUGAUACAUCUUCCAUGUACUCUGGUUCAAGUUUAUUUUCAUGCCCCUUUCUAACGGAAUGUAGAUUUUUAAAAAAAUUGGUAGGUAAGUAGCCACUGAAGUUAUUGCGAGAAAGAUCAAUGAUGCGCAAGCGAGAGAAGGAAACUGUAACAUCAGAGUUAUCCAUUUGGCCAAAGAAUUUAUUCGAUCUCAAGACAAGAACUUGUAGAUGAUCUAAAUUUCCUAACCAGUUCGGGAAAGUGUCAUUCAACUUGUUGUUCCCAACAUCGAGAAGGUUCAAAUCUUUGCAAUUACCUAAAGAUCGUGGCAGUGACCCUCCUAUUUGGUUGUUGUUGAUACGAAAACUUUGUAACGUGCAAUAUUUAGCAAAACUUUCUGGUAUUUUACCAUGAAAAUUAUUAUUCCAUAGAUCAAUGUGUGAAAGAGAAGAACUCAAGUUUCCAAUGCACUCAGGAAUUGUUCCGUUAAAACUGUUGUUCCAUAAACUGAGAACUUUAAGGGAACUUGAAUUGCAUAUUGACGAAGGGAUGUCUCCAACUAAUUUAUUUCUUGAAGCAAAGUACCAAAGCAAUGAAGGUGGUGGAGUUGGAAUUUGUCCUGAAAGAAAAUUUAGACUAUAUUAGAAUUAGGAGUUUGAAGAUUCUUUGAAACGAAAAAGGUAAAUAAACUACAUUUCUAGUGUAACACAUGGAUGAAUCUAGUCAGUUGACAUAGUGUUUAUAGGUUUGUUAUGAAAUUCCUACUUGAAAAUUAAUAUGUAGAGACAAACUAAACAACAAUGUGAUGAGAGGAGGUAAGUUUGACUAAUUCCAUCAUUCUCCCUUUUAAAAAAUAAAAAUAAAUUAAGUCAAUAUAGUAAAAUUACCUUUUUACUCUAAAAAAUUUAUGGUUUAAUCCUUUUAGAGAUUGUAAUUUUAAGUUAAUAAAAUGGUAAAAAUAAUCUUUGGACCCAUUAAAAAUAUAUAAUUAAUUCCUUGCCUAUAAAAAUUGUGUUUUUUCCUUCUCCCCUACGUUUCGUGAACAACUUCCACCUAAAAUGCAGUGGAAGGAUUAUGGGUGAUCUUUCAGUACCAUGGUAAGGUCAUGGACGCAUUCUUUCCCAGAAAAAGGAGCAAAACGAGAAAGAGAUUCGGUUUUGUCAGAUAUGCAAAUUCAAUGGAUGUUGAGAAGGCCAUAAGCACAUAUUAAAUGGGUAUAAAGUGUUGGGCGACCAAAUUGAUGUCCAUAGUUCUAUUCUGUAUACUAGAACAAAACUCUAGAGGAGAGUGACAUCUAGGAACCCAAAGGACAAUCCAUAUGCAACACAAAAGGUUACACAAUCCCAAAGUUUUAAUGAAAGUGUAAUGUCUACAACCAAAAGGGUUGAGUAGAAAGUCAGUAAAGAAAUUAGAAAGAACUCACAUGAUGAUUAACUCUCUCUUGCGCACUUUUGAAUAUGAAAAAAGUGCAGGAUUUCUUUGUGGACCUUUUUGUUAGGAAAAAUAUUUAUAAAUCGUUGUUGGUGCAUUUGUUAUGGGUCGUAGUUCAAGCCCGUGACCAUCACACAAAAUGCAUCCCAUAGAGGUCUAUCAUUAACAUAGGGAUCACUUGGCCCACAAGAAUUGGCCCGAUUCAAAGAGUUGUUGGAGUAGCUUGUCAGAUUAAAGCCUGAAUGAUGAAGAUAUGACAAUAUAGGCUACAUUAGUAAUAGGGAAACUAAUAUUAGAAGAUUAAGGGCAAUCAUAUCUUAUAAGAUUAGAUUGGAUUUGAUUAUGAAAAUUCAUUAUGUAAUAUUGUAAAUCCCUAGAUUUAAGGGAUAAGCUAAUAUCAUCCGUCAAUUUAACUUGAUCUAGACCAUCAGUUUUGGGGGAGCUCAACUUUAAAUAGAGAGCCUUCCCCUCACUUUUAACUCACUUCAUUCUUUCAUUGUUUCUUGUAUUUUUUGAGAGAAAGUAAUACAAUUGAGAGCAUUUAUUCAAACACCUCUCAUGCAUAGUUUUCUUUGGCUUUCUGUUCUUUUGAGCCUUUUUUUGGCUAAGCUGCUUCCACUAUAUAAAUUAGUGUCUUGUAGGAAUUCUUUGUGAAUCUUCAAUUGUCUGGUGGUUAGGUUAACUUAGGCGUGUUUGUACCGAAAGGAUCAGCUAAGGCUGUACAAAAUGCAAGAUUAAAGUUCUAGCCUUAUUAUAAGUGGUAUUAGACCUUAGGUUACAAAAGCACCAUCGAGAUGUCGAAACAAGUUGCCAAUAAAAAUUAGGCCAGAAAACUAGUCAUUUUGAAGGAUAUGUUGUAGGUAGUAGAGGAACAAGUGGAUAAAAUCGAGGAGUCCACGGAGGACGUGAAGGAGUCACACGAUGUGCUUAGUGAACGCAUAGAUGACUUGAGGGAGCAAUCCACGGGCUUUGUGAUCAUAUCUCCCACUUUCGAUAGGGAAAGUGUGCAAGAGUUGUUGAAUUCCCAUAAGAAGAAGCUGGUGGAGAGGAACAAUGCUCUGAAGGUCAUGGUGAUGGCUUUGAAGGAGGAAAAAAUGGCCACGACAAAGGCUUUGAGCACAAGAAUAGAAGAGCUCAAGGGAGAGCUCGCAUUAUGUUGAGAAACUGUGGGGAAUAGAGUGUCGAGUGUAGCACUUAAUUACAAGUAUGUCCUGAAGUUGAAAGAGUUUACGGGGACAAGGUUUGCAUACAAUAUGGACAAUUUUUUAUGGAGGAUAGAGCACUACUUCCAUGGAAAAGACAUUGUGGAGAUGCGAGUAAGGUAAAUAUUGCUUUCAUGUUUCUUACUAAUUUUGUGAUUUUAUGGUGUCAAGGUAGGUCCUCAGAUAAAAGGCAUAGUGAGAUUAAGACGUGGGAAGAGUUCCAACAUGAGUUGAAGGGCCAGUUUUAUCCAAAAUUUGCCGAUGAGGAAGCUCGGGCAAAGUUGCGAUGGCUUACACAACGACACACAGUGGGGGAGUAUGUUCAAGAGUACAAGGAACUUAUGCUCCAAAUUUUAGACAUGACCAAGAUAGAGGCAUUGCUUCCUUUCAAGAAUGGAUUAAAGUCGUGGGUCAAACAAGAAUUGGAACGAGAAGGUGUCUAAGAGCUAUUGAAAGCCAUGAUGAUAGAGGAGACGGUGGUCAAGCUUAGUCUAGGGAAAGACAAGCUUGAGUCUUCCAAGUCCAAAGAAAGGGGCAUAUGUAAAAGGAAUCACGAGGAAGAUAGUGGCAAUGACAACGACAAUGAUGGUAGUAAUGGGAAACCAUGAGUUAGGAAGAAUAAACCCAAUAAAAAGAGAGGAAAUGUGAGAUGAUUUUUUUUUAAGAUGGUCACAUUUAUUGAAGAAAUGUCCAAAGAAAUCUGUAUUUUCUAAGAAGGACAACCUAGAAGGUAAGGUUGUGAGACUUGGUUCGAGUGCAAGAGUGUCGAAGCCAAUGAGGUCGAAGAUGAGAAAAAGCUAGUGGAGUGCUUCUUGUGUCAUGGUCCGUAUAGGUUGUGAAAAUGUCCAAGGAAGUCUACCAUCAAAGGGGACAAUGCGUCAGACAAUGAGCCUAAAAAGCUUGGUUUAAGCAAAGGAAAAGUUGAAGCCAAGAAGACAAAGAGGAGCAAAAAGAAGCGAGUAAAGUGCUUCUUGUGUCGUGGUCUGCAUGAGUUAUGGAAUUAUACAAACCAAAUCAUGGUCAAAGAAAAGGAAACAUCGGAGCUUAUUGAGUCAUCGGAGCGGCUUCCACCCAAGGAGGAGGUGAGUUUGUCAUUGGAUUUAUGGGAAAAGUGGCAAUGAAAAUAGUGAAGCUAGGACCAAUGAAACUCAAUUUGAGUAAAGCGACGGAGUUGGCCGAGUCAUCGGUGAGGCUUUCACCCAUAGAAGAGGUGAGUUGUGCAUCGGACUCAGAGGAAAAAGUAGCGAUGCAAACUUUGAAGCUAGAAUCAAUGAGGCUCACUUCUAUUGACACAUUGGAGGAGCUAACACCUUUGGGUAAGGUGGGUUGUGCAUCAAACUUUGGGAAAGUGGUGAUGCAAGUUGGACAGUUGACCCAACUAAAUGUGACUUGUAAGGUACAUUUCGAACACUUUGGUAGUGUUUUACAUUCUAACUUGUUAACUUGGUAAGAACGUAGGCGCCCUUUCAAAGCUCUUAAGCAAGGAAACAAAAACACUAUAGGAAAUUCAAAGCCAUGUUUUGUGAAUCAAGAGGAUUUCAUUAGAAGCGAGUUAGAAUGUGGGCAAGAGAGAGCAGUGGAUUUUUACCAAUAAGAUGUACUGACGAGUGGGACGGUUCGAGUUAAGAGGUGAUGAAAGCUGAGGCAAAAGUUCUAAAGAAAGGGACAACCCAAUAGUAAGAUUAGUCAAGAAAAAGCUAAGGCGUCGAGAUAAGAUGAGACCGAGGUGAAUCAAGUCAGUGUCAUUCUGUAGGCACAACAAGGGCGUUACAAGAACAGGUGGGGGAGAAUGUCACGGAUCGUAGUUUAAAGCCCGUGACCAUCACACACAAUGCAUCCCAUAGAGGUCUAUCAUUGACAUAGGGAUCAUUUGGCCUACAAAAACUGGCCCGAUUCAAAGAGCUGUUGGAGAAGCUUGUUAGAUUGAAACCUGGGUGGCCCAAUGAUGAAGAUAUGACAACAUAGGCUACCUUGGUAAAUAGGGAUACUAAUAUUAAAAGAUUGAGGGAAAACAUAUCUUAUAAGUUUAGAUUUUAUUUGAUUAUGUAAAUUCAUUAUGUAAUCUUGUAAAUCUCUAGAUUUAAAGGAUAGGCUAAUCUUGUUUGUCAAUUUAACUUGAUCUAGACCGUUGAUUUUGAGGAGCUCAACUAUAGAUAAAGACUCUCCCCUCACUUGUAACUCACUUCAUUCUAUCAUUGUUUCUUGUAUUCUUUGAGAGAAAGUAAUACAAUUGAGAGCAUUUACUCAAACAUCGUCCGUGCAUAAUUUUCUUUAGCUUUCUAUUCUUUUGAGCCUUCUUUUGGCUAAAUUUCUUUCGAUAUAUAAAUUGGUGUCUUGGAGGAAUUCUUUAUGAAUCCCCAAUUGUUUUGUGGUUAGGCUGACUUAGGUAUUUUUGUAUCGAAAUGAUCGCCUAAGGCCGCACGGAACACGAGACUAAAGUUCUAGAGCCAUGACACAUUGCUAAGGAUUUUAACACAAUGUGUAAAAAAGAAGAAUAGAAAGGUUAUGGAAGUAGAAAUAUGGAAAUGAAAAAGGCUAAAAAUUUUAUUAAUAAGGAGAGCUUAUUGAUUAAGCAUUGUCUUCUUGUGAAAUUUUAGUUGGCAAUGACUUCAGAAAUCAAAGCUUAUUUGCGAAUCUUGUUGGGACUCUAGUUGUCCUAUUGCUAAUUUUUCAACUCAUUUUCAAAUAGUUCAUUGCAUUCCUUGGUUAUUCCCAUGUUUGAAUAGAUGUCCAAACAAGCCUUUAGGCAACAAUUUGGACAUUUCUUUAGGACAACUCAAGUAGAGUUCGUUGUUGGCGCUUUGACUUUAACCUCCCUAAUUAUUUUCUCUAUAACUAAAUGAUCCUUAAAUCAUGUUUUAUCUCUUCCUAAAUGAUGUUGAUCGACAUGCCUUAUCCCAUAAUACUUAUCUUUAUCUUAUAAGUCAUUUACUUGGUCAUUAAGCUGUUGAUUUCGUUUUAUAUUGAGAUAAAUAUUGGAGGUUUUUAUCCUUGAUAAUCAUGAAAUUAAAAUUACAAUCCUAUCUUCACAAAACUACCAAGGGGAGUUUUUGAUAUUGCCCAUAAAUAGGCAGCUUAUUCGCCUAGUUUGAUACAAAUUUCUGGAGGACUACUUAUGUUGUUUUUGCUAGUAUCUUUGUUGUUGAAUUUUACUUGUAUUUAACACUUAUUUCAUAGGUUUGUUGGAGAGUUUUAAACUUUCUACAAGUGAGGUAAUUUGAGUGAAUGGUUGUAACAAGUUAGGGUCAUCUAUUGAAGUCGCAAAUGAUUCUUGUGUAAGAGUAGAUUAGGCUUUAGUCAAUAGGAUACUCGAUUAAUUGUUGAACAAAUCAUUCACAAGCGAGGCUCCACGAAGUAGGAUUAUUUUUUAACUGUAUUAAUAAAGCUUGUAUGUUUAUCUCUUCCUUUAAUAUCUUUUGGUUAUUACCUUUGUUCAUUGUCUUGUUCAAACUCGUGUCUAAACAUCAGUUUCAACAAGAAGUAAACUUAUUGCUUUUUCAAUUGGUAUCAGAGUAGGCUUCAAGAGUUGUUUGAAGAUGAUCCUAUCACAUUUUGCUACCAUGGAGACCAUAAAAGUAGGAAGUUUCAUAUCUCAAGAUUAGUUGUUGGAUCAUCAAACUAUGCUUAUAUAAAAUAAUGUCCAUUUAUGAAGCUACAUGGGAAAAUAUUAAGGAAGGAUGGACAAAACUUAAGGAAAUUGAUUCUUAUGGAACAACAACGGCUAAGGAAAAUAAUCAAUAUACUGCUGAUGAGAGAAGGGCAAGGGCUACCUAAAAAACCCCCAAAGCCUUGUAUACUAUAUUCAGUCGGGUUGACAUGGGGCAGUACAAAAUGGUAUCAACUUGUAAAUCAACAAAAGAAGCUUUGAACAUCUUACAGAACCAGCAUGGAGGGAAUGCAACUUUUUCAAUGUCCAAAUUGCAAAUCAUGACUACCAUGCUAGAUUAUGUGACAAAACUAAUGAGAUAUUUCAUCUUGGUGAAUGUUUUUUCAAGGUUAAACUGCUGAGAAAAGUUUUUGCGGUUACUUCAAGAAUAUUUUGUUAUCAAAGUCACAGUAAUAAAAUAAGUUAAGGAUAUCACCACUCUUAGAUUGCAUGAGCUGUUAGGUUCUCUUAGAACCUUUGAGCUAUUAAAGAAAACAUGACAAGUUGAAACCUGAGAAGAACAUUGCCUUCAAUGUUUUGACCAAAAGAAUAUAACUCUUAGAAUAAGAAGAAAGAGGUUCAGUCCUAUGAAUGUAAAGGUUUUGGCUAUAUUCAAUCAGAAUAUGCCAAGUAUUAGAAUUGAGUGACCCGAAUCCUUGUUAAAAUAAAACACAGUGGUAAAAUAAAAUGAAAGUAAAAUCCAUAUAGAACUACACAUUUUUUUUAGAAUAAGGUUUUUCAACCUUAUUAUACUUCAUCUAUUUGAUAUUGAUUAGAAUAAGGUGUUUCAACCUUACUACACUCAUUCUAUUAAAAUAUGGUUUUGCAAGCCUAUGAAUAGACAUAGUCUACUCUUCUUGUAUUCAUUCGAAUUCGACAUAGUGAGUUAUCUUCUCCUCUACCCAUGGAUUUUUUCCGAAAUGGUUUCCACAUAAAAAUCUGUGUGUUCUUUAUUUUUCUUUCUUUUUUCUUUAUGACACAUUGUCAUUAUCCACAUUCUAUUUUUUACAAGUUAGUAUCAGAGCUUUUCGAGUUGAUUAUCUCGAUCACGAUAAUGACAUCGCUUAAGUAUGAAAUUUUGCUAUUGAAUCGUAACACUAGAUUCGUGUUGUGGCAGGUUAAUAUGCAGGCAGUUCUCACGCAGCUGGAUCUGAAGGAUGCCCUACUAGGGAUAGGUAAGAUUGAUUCGACAUUGAUGGAUGAAGAGAAGAAACGUAAGGAUAAAAAGGCUUUGACACAAUCACAGCUAUAUUUGUCUAGUAAAAUUUUACAGGAUCUAAUGAAGGAGAAGACUAUCGUUGCAUUAUGAAAGAUGUUGAAGCAGCUAUGUAUGUGGAAAACUUUAACCAGCAAGCUACAUAUGAAGCACUAUCUUUAUGCUAAUUGUUUGGAGGAAGGUGCAUCUGUGCACGAACAUUUAACAAUGUUUAAAGAAAUUCUCUUAGACCUUGAGGCCAUAGAAGUUCAGUAUGAUAAAGAAAAUCUAGGGUUGAUUCUACUUUUUUCGUUGCCCCCGUCUUAUUCAACCUUUAGUGACACGAUUUUAUAUAGCCGUGAGUCUCUCACAGUUGAUGAUGUUUAAGAUUCUUUGACCUCGCAUGAUAAGAUGGAGCAUCUUAUGGUUAAACCCGACUCUUAAGGAGAGGGUCUCAUUAUUCGUGAGAGACAAGAUCGCAAUACUGAUGAUGAUCAUGGAAGGACACACAAACGGAAUCCUCGUGGUAAAUCUAAGGGUAGAUUGAAGUCUUCAAACAAAGGUAAAACUUAUAACUUAUACAAGAAGAAUUAAAUCUGAGUGUUAUAAGUUAUAGAACAAGAUCAAAAGGGAGGUUGCGAAUCAAAAGGGAAAACAACCAAAAAAAUCUGAUGAAGCUGAUGUUGUAGAAGACUAUAGCAAUGGUGAACUCCUAGUCGCUUCUGUCAACAAUUUUAAAGUGAGCGAGGAGUGGAUCCUUAAUUCAGGUUACACCUUCCAUAUGAGUCCCAAUCGAGAUUGAUUUACAACUUACAAAAUAGUGUCUGAAGGCGUUAUUUUGAUAAGAAAUAAUACUUCGUCUAAAAUUGUAGGUGUUGGAACAAUUAAAGUUAAUAUUUUUGAUGGAGUUGAUAGAACACUUAGUGAUGUGCGACAUGUUCCAAAAUUGAAGAGAAAUUUGAUUUCAUUGAGUACUAUUUAUUAAAAAGGCUACAAAUACACAACUGAAAGUGGGGUUUUGAAGAUUUCCAAAAGUUCUCUCGUUGUGAUGAAAGGGCAGAGAAGGAUUGUCAAGUAUAUGUUUUGCAGGGUUCUACUAUUAUUGGUGAUGCAACUAUCACUUCCUCUUCCUUGUCAGAUGAUGAUGUUACUAGACUUUGGCAUAUGCGUCUAGGGCAUAUGAGUGAAAAUGGCAUGGCAGAAUUGAGCAAAAGAGGACUUCUUGAUGGGUAAGGAAUUUGCAAACUGAAAUUUCGUAAGCACUGUGUUUUUGGGAAGCAAAAGAGAGCUCAAUUCCAUAACACAAAGGUAAUGUUGGAGUAUAUUCAUUAUGAUAUAUGGGGCCAUCAAGAGUGCAUUCGAGAGGUGGAGUUAAUUAUAUGCUAACACUUAUUGAUGAUUUUUCCAUAAAACUUUGAGUGUUUUUCUUGUAGUAGAAAAGCGAUGUGUUUUCUGCAUUUAAGUCUUGGAAAACUAUGAUUGAAAAAUAGAUAGUAAAACAAGUAACACAUGUAACAGCCCGAUUUUGGGUCUAGAUAGAACAGUGAUUUCGGGACCACAAAUCCGACAAGGAAAAAUUUAUUUUAAAAUUAUGACAUGGGUUGCAUUAUGAUAGGAAGGUUGCAUGCAAAUGCUGAUAUGAAAAUUUUAUCGAUUUAGUGAUUAAUUAAGGAAAUGACCUAUUUGUAUAAAAUGUAGAAUUUGAAUUCUAGAAGCUAGAAGGGUUAAUUAGCUAUGAAAUUGUAAUACCCCGAAAAUUACUACAGUAAGAAAGUAAGAUAAUAUCUCUGAUAUGGUGAAAUAAGGAAAUAAAGAGAUAAAAAGGGGAAUUGAGUUAUGUCAACAUUGGAAAGUAUAUUAUGACAUAUUGAUUCAAGAAAGGAUUAAAUUGCAAAAGUGAGAAAAGUUUUGUUACCCAAGAGUAAAUACUCAAAAUUUAAGGGGUUAAAGUGUAAAUAUGAAAAAGUUGAAGGACCAAUAGUGUAAAUAUUUUAAGGGUGAAAUAAUCUAGAAACUAAGGAAGAUGGAUGAAUUGGGACCAAAUUGAAUGGAUGAAGAAUUAUGAGGGACUAAAUUGUAAUUUUACCAAAUUAAGUGAUGACUCAAGGAUGGAAUUUUAAAAGAUCUAAAGGGAAAAAUGGUCAAUUAGAAGAAAGAGAAAUCUAGAAAAUAAUGAUGACGUUGGAGAUAUUUUAGAUUAAAUAAAUAAAUAUUAGUUUAUUAAUAUUUUAAUUUGAUUUUUAAAUGAUAUUUUAUUAUUUUAUUAUUAUUUCAUUUAGUGAAUAUUUAUGGAAGAAAAGAUGAAGAAUCAUCAUCUUCUUCCCCAUGCAACUAACGUAUGAAGAGAAAAGAAAGAGAGAAACUUUCUUUUCUUUACAAUUUGGUCCUUUUACCAAAAAUUCACCAUUUUCACUUAGAAAUCAAAAGAAUUUCCAUAUUCAUCAAGAGAGAAAGAUAACAGGGAGACUAUGGGGAGCUAGAAUAUCAAGUUAGAUUCAAGAAAUAGAAGCUGGAGGAAGGAGAAAAUCAAGUUAAAGAUUGAAAUCAAUGGCAUAAGGUAAGAACAUCAAGAUUUUUAUAUACUUUUGAGUUUGAUAUUAUUCAAAAAGUAGGAAAUUAAUGUUAAGGUAGAGUUUCAUUAUAUAAGGCUCUAUAUUCUUGUUAUGUUAGUAAAGGGAAAUAAGAGAAAGUGAUGGAAAAUAUUGAAGAGAAAGGAAAGGAAAGUGUUAUAAAUUUAGUUAUCAACAUUUUACACUAAAAUAGUUUUGAGACAGCAGCAGUAGUCUGAAUUUGAAAAUCUAUCAAAAAUCGUAUAAAUGGAAUUAGAGGAUGAAAAAAAUAUGAAAUUAAAUUUUAUUGAGUCUAGUUUCUCAUAGAAGAAACGGUGUAAGCAAUGCAAUUUUAAAUUAUGAGAUAUAAUAGGUUUUGUGAGAUAAGGUCAGAAUGAUUUCGGGUUCCCUUGUACUGAUUUUGGAAAAUCAUUAAAAAUUUUAGAAAAAUAAUUAGAGGAUUAAAUUUAUAUUUUUAAAUUCUUAAUGAGUCUAUUUUCAAUAGAAACAAACGGUAACAUCAUUCGAAUUCUGUUCGAGGAGAUAAUUAAUUUUUAGUGAAGAAGGGUCGGAACUGUCAGACAGCAGAACAGGGAUGACUUUAAAGAAUAAAAUGUACUUAUUCGCUAAACCAAAAAUUCUGAAAAUUUUAUGGUAAGAAGAUAUGUGAGUCUAGUUUUAGAGAAAAUUAACAGAUCUUAAUUUGGAGUUCUUUACCUCAAGAUAUAAAUAAUUUAGUGACUAUGACUCAAGUGGACAACUUUGAAUGAAUAUAUAAGUAAAUGGUGAAAUUAUAGAUAAUGUUACCUAUAAGCAUGUUAUAUACAUUAAGGAUGUGGAAUGGAGAGGAGGAGGAGAAAAAUAUAUGAUUAUUCAACUAGAAUGAGUUUUCAUUAAAAAUGACCAAUUUACAUGUUUUAGGUUCAGGGACUAAAUUAAACAAAUGUGAAACUUUAAGGGUAAAUUUGUAAAAAUGUCAAAAAGUGACCAAAUUGCAUGAAAUGAAUUUUUAUUAUUAUUUAAAUUAGUAAAUUGAAUGAAAUAUUAAUUUAGAUCAAGAUUGGGUGGAAAUUCGAGAAAAUAAAAAAUUACCAAAAUGUCCCUAAAUUUUGGUAUUUUUGCAAUUUAGCCUGGUAAGUUCGUAUGAACUAUAUUCUGUAUAAUUUUAAUUAAAUUAAAUUCUAUUUAAUGAUGAAUAUUAUAUAAAUAUGUGUUUUAUUAUUGAAAUUGAAUUAUUAUUGGUAAUAUGUUCAAUUAUUAGAUGCAGUGAGAUAAUUAUCAGAAGCUCGAUUGUGGUUGGUAGGAAAUGUUGCAUUAUUUAUAUUGUGAAGAAUUAUAAAAUCAUGUUAAUAAUUUGAAAGUUUUAAUAAUUAAUGGAAUUUUAUAACUCGGUUCAAUACGUUUACAAGUGUAUGUGUUCUGGUAAUGCCUCGUACCCUAUUCUGGUGUCGAAUAUGGGUAAGGGGUGUUACAACACACCUCUACACAAACAAUGGCUUAGAGUUCUCUUCUGAUAAGUUUAAUAAAGUGUGCAAGUUAGAAGAGAUCGUGAGACAUUUGACAGUUUUUCAUACUCCACAUCAAAACGACGUUGCAUAACGAAUGAACAGAAACAUGAAGAACGUUCGAUGCAUGUUUUCAAAUGCUAACAUACCAAAGUUGUUUUGGGACCGAAGCAGCCUCUACUGCAUGUUCUUUUAUCAGUCUAUCUCCAUCCAUUUCCAUUGAGAAAAAGACUCUACAAGAGGUAUGGUUUGGUAAUCCUGCUGAUUAUUCUGAUUUAAAAAUGUGUUUUUCUUGGUUAUAAAGCUGGUGUAAAAGGGUAUAAGUUAUGGUACCCUAAAAAUAGAAAAUUUGUGAUUAGCAGAGAUUUUGUUUUUAAUGAAGCUGCUAUGCUACCUAACUUAUCUCUUAAAGACUCUUCCAAUAAAGAAUAGCAAAAGCAGGUGAAGCAUCAGAUUAAUCCAGAACAUACAAUAGAGCCGACUCCUCAAGCCAGUAAAAAAAUUUAGAAUAGAGUUGUUUCUUCACCACAAUACUCUAUCGCCAAAAAUAGAGCUAGAAGAGAGAUUAAACCUCCAAAGAAGUAUGCCAAGGCUAAUCUAGUUGCUUAUGCUUUAAAUGUAGUUGAAGAUAUAGAUACAAACCAAGAACCAUCUAAUUAGUCUAAGGCGAUUAGCUGUGAAAACUCAAAAAAGUGGAUAUUUGCUAUGCAAGAGAAGAUAGAAUCACUCCACAAAAACAAAACAUGAGAUCUUGUUAAGCUUCCUAAAGGCAAAAAGGUUGUUUGUUGUAAAUGGUUGUUCGUUGUAAAUAGGUGUUUGAAAAGAAAGAAGAGACUUAAGGAGUUAAAGAACUCGAAUAUAGAGUAAGACUUGUUGCAAAGGGUUACAGUCAAAUUCCAGGUAUGGACUUCACAAAUGUGUUCUCCCCAGUUGUGAAGCAUAGUUUGAUUCGAGCUUUGCUCGGUAUUGUGGCCAUGCAUGAUUUGGUACCAAGACAGUGGUACAAGAGAUUUGAUUCCUUUAAGACUUCUCAUGAUUUCAAAAGAAGUAGCUUUGACAGUUAUGUUUACUUUAAGAAAAAUAGUGAUGAUUCUUUUGUGUAUCUACUCCUUUAUGUUGAUGGCAUGUUGAUAGCAGCGAAAGAUAAAUGAUAGAUAAGAAAGGUCAAAGCCCAACUAAGUAAAUAAUUUGAGAUGAAAGAUUUGAGACCAACAAAGAAAAUACUUGGUGUGGAGAUUCUCAGAGAUAAAAAAACAAGUAAAUUGUACCUAAGUCAGAAGGGGUACAUUGAGAAAGUUCUUCACAGGCUCAAUAUGCACAGUGCUAAGCCUAUUAAUACUCCUUUAGCAGUCUAUUUUAGACUUUCAUUAGCCUUGUCUCCAAAAUCAGAUGAUAAGAUUGAGUACAUGUCAUAUGUUCCAUAUUAUGGUGUAGUGGGAUCUCUCAUGUAUGCUAUGGUUUGUUCACGUCCAUAUUUAUCAUAUGCAGUCAGUGCAUUUAGCAAAUACAUGGUGAAUCCUGGUAAAAACACUGGAAAGCAGUUCAGUGGAUUUUCAGAUACUUACGAGGUACUACUGAUGUUUUCUUAUAGUUUGGAGGAACUACAGAUGGAGUCAUUGGGUAUGUUAAUGCUGGUUUUGCUAGAGACUAUCAUAGAAGAAGAUCUUUCACCAACUAUGUAUUUACAAUUGAAGGUUGUGCAAUUAGUUGAAAAGCCACUAUGCAAACUACAGUCACUUUCUCUACUACUAAAGAUGAGUACAUGACAAUUACUAAGGCUUGUAAAAAAGCCAUUUGGUUGAAGGGACUCUUUAGUUAACUCAAUGAAGACCUUCAAAUCAGUACAGUAUUUUGUGAUAGUGAAAGUGUCAUCUUUCUUACAAAAGAUCAAAUGUUUCAUGAGAGGAUAAAGCAUAUUGAUGUUUGGUAUCAUUUUGUUCAUGAGAUUAUUGCUCGUGGUGAUAUUGUUGUGAGCAAAAUUAGAAUCAUGAAAAUCUUGCAGAUAUGAUGACUAAGUCACUUCCCAUAACCAAGUUUAAGCAUUGCUUAGACUUGGUUGGUGUUCAUUGUUGAAAAAUAUCCCUUAAGGGGUUUCAUGGAAGAGGUAAAGAACUUGUUCAUUGAGAAUUCAUGUCAAGUUUAAAGAUUGUUAGAAUUGAGUGACCCAAAUCCUUGUUAAAAUAAAACACAGUGGUAAAAUAAAAUAAAAGUAAAUUCCAUAUAUAACUACACUUCCUUUAUUUUAUUUUAGAAUAAGGUUUUUGAACCUUAUUACACUUCAUCUAUUUGAUAUUGAUUAGAAUAAGGUGUUUCAACCUUACUACACUCCUUUAAUUAGAAUAUGGAUUUUCAAGCCUAUAAAUAGACAUAGUCUACUCCUCUUGUAUUCGUUCGAAUUUGACCUAGUGAAUUAUCUUCUCCUUUGCCCGUGGUUUUUUUCCCGAAAGGGUUUCUACGUAAAAAUCUACGUGUUCUUUAUUUUUCUUUCUUUUUUUCUUUGCGAUACAUUGUCAUUAUCGAUGUUCUAUUUUUCACACCAACACUAAGGAGAAGCAAAAGUUCUUAGUAGUUACUUGGAGUGACAAAGAGGAUGAAAGUGAAUUUUUAGACUCUAAAGAGGACAUAAAUAACUAUGAGGCCUUCAAUGCUGUUGUUCAAAGUCCUAUCUAGACAGGUUAUGAAACAACUGAAGAACCUGAUUGUGACAUUGGAACACUUGAAGAUACAUAUUUCCAAAUGAUCAAAAAAUUAAAAAUUGUGUGUCAAAUAAAUGAUGACUUCAGAGAAAGAGUGAGAAAUUUGAAGGGAAAAAAAAGGGAAGUUUGAAAGACUAGUGCAAGAGAAAGAUGAGGUUUUAAAGAAUACUAAGAAAGAGCUUACUAAGAGUCUGAAGUUAUUCUAAAGAGGUUCAGUGGGCAGAGUGAAAAGCUUGAUGAAAUCUUGACCACAAUGAGAUUCGAGCUUGGUCAUAAAGGGCCUUGGUUAUCCUUUAGCAAGUAAGAAAGUUGAUCCACCUACUGUGUUUGUUAAAGCUACUGAUUCAAGCUUCUAAGGUCAAAGUACAAGAUGUAUAAUUAAUUUUUUUAAAGCCAAAAAUAUUAUAUUAAGUAACUAAAAUAUUGUAAAGCUAGUCAAUAAUAUAUAACAAAUAACUAAUGCAACGGGAUGGGAUUGCAUAAUUGUAACAUCAAAAAGUAGAAGAAAAUUGAUAUUAUACCUGUUAAUUUGUUACCAGAAAAAAAAUCCUCUCGAGAGAAGUCAUGUUUUCAAUAACUAAGGGAAUUUCACCUGAAACAUAUAAUUAAAUUGAGUGUACGUAGUGGUAAGAACAAAUAUAUUUGUGUUUGUAUUUUGACAAGUGCAUAAUUUCUCAAUUAUUUACAAUAUUUCUCCUUUUGAAUUAUGCUAUUUAUGUUCUUAAUUAUAUUAUAUAUGCUUAUAUUUCAUUUAUUAUUAAGUUAGGAAAUACUUAAAGAUAAAGGAGCUUAAAGAUUUUUUUUGACAAGUUUUUGCGGUUUGAACUUUCAACACAGUGCAACUUCGGUAUUUUGGUUGUAACUGUUACAGACUUCCAUUUUGGACCCAUAAUAUAUCAAUUCGAAGGAGAUUAAAAGAUCUAUCUAAAUGUUAUCAUAGAUGAAGCCUAAAAAUGUCAAGAAGGCUCCUAAAAGUGGUCUGGCAGUUUGAAGCGAAAAUUGCCAGGAAAUCUUGAAAAUUUUUGCAUUAAUUAAUUAGUGGAACUUUUGUAUUUUAUCUAUUAUAUUUUUUCCCAAUAAAUAGAUAUUAUUAGGUUAAAACAAGGUAGAGACCUAGUCAUUCUUAGUUUUAUUUUAUUUUCUUUAUUUUAUGGAUUUCUAAAUCUGCCUUUAUAGUCAAGGGUUUUAUCGAAGUUUGAUUUAAUAAAUUCGUAAGACUUAUUUGUGCUUUAGUUCUUCUAUGUUCUUUGGUAUUUAUCCAUCUUCUAUUUCAAUUACAAUUUCUCAAGUUUAUUAAGUAUGUGACCAGUAUUCAAUAGCUCAGAACAAUUGUCUAGUCAAUUAAAAUAGUUAAAUUUGUAAUUGUUUAAUUCAUUCUAAUACUAGUGACAAACUGCAUAACUCGUUUAUGUUGUAGUAUGUGAUUAUAUGGUGUGUAUGUGUGAUCUAGCUUAAAUGAACCCCCCUCUGAGGUGAGUUUGUUGGUUAGAAUUAGGUCUUUCUCAUUCUUAAUGCUAUCGGUAAAUUAAAUCUUGGACACUUAGUUACAAGGUUAUUUAUCGGUUAGGGAACUAAUUUCAAAUGAGUUGCUUCCUGGUUACCAAAUAGAUAAGGAGAGAUUGGUUGUUCGAUACUGAGUUAGUAGCUAGAACUAAUUUAUUAAAGGUAUUGAAGUUAUCCUUGCGUCAAUGAUCGAAUCUAUGAAUCAAACGGAGAUUUCAUCUUUGGCUAGAGUUUUUCCACAUUGAUUUUAUUUUAUCUUAUGAUAUUUUUUUUACUUUAUUUAAUUUUAAUUUUAAUUUUUUAAUUCUAAACCCAACCUUAUUUGUUUUUCUUGUUUAUUAAGAAAUAAAAUUAUUACCAAUCUCUCUAUAUAUGAUCCUAAUUGUUGCUUUCUACUAAUUAUUAUAUUUUCAAGUUAAUUUUAUUAUUUGUAGGUCUCAUGUUUUUCUAAGCCAAAAGCAUUGUAUUAAGAAACUAAAAUAGAUUGCAUAAAUUAAAAAAAAGAAAAAAGAAAAGAUUAUACCUGUUAAGUUGUUAAAAGAAAAAUCUAUGAUAACAAGAGAAGUGAGUUUUCCAAUAACGGAUGGAAUUUCACCUGAAACAUAAAAUUAAAUAUAUUAAAAUUUACUAAUAUUUUUCUAGUAGAAUUUCUGCAUCUGUUUCUUCUUUUCUAAACAUGUAAAUUUCAUUCAGUUUUAUAUUAUUUAUAACAGCAUCUAAUAGUUUUAAUAAUUAUGAAGAAACUCAAAUUUUAUAAAUCCCUAUCCCAAGACGUCAAAAAAGUUUCAAGCACUGAACACGAAAAUACCAUAUAACACAAUUCAUAGGUGUAGAGGAGGAGGAUUAGAUACUCCAGCCGCAAUCAAGAUAUCACCAAAAAUCUCAAAAAUCAACCAAGACAAUGAAAUUCAUCACUUCAAUUCAUUCCAGUCGAGAGGGCAUAACAAUUGUGGAUGAACAAUUUUUUCCAUAAAGAAAAUCAUAGCUAUAUUCCGUUAAACAUAAAGAUGACAAUUACAAAACAGGUCACUCUUCUACAACCACGUAUAUAAAGCAAACAAGAUAUAUGGAUGCCAUUUUUGCUAGGAAAUCAACAACCAUAUUGUACGUAAGGACAUAUUUUUGAAAUUUUUACGUGUAUAUGAUAUCAACACCAACUUGACCUUGAACAAAUUAUCAAAUCGUGGGCAAAAAAUUUUACCAACCAAGGAAAAAUAAGAAAAACAUUUUUCAUUGAUGUUGAAAGAGAUCUCUAUAGUGUCGUGUAAUGACAUGUUGAAUAGGUUUAGGGUGUUGGUCAACCGUAUUGAUGACAAAUUUGCUAUAACCAUAUUUUGGACGAAGGUGACUUGUAAAAACCAAAAGGAGAAUUCGAAUGCAACAGAACAUGUAUCAUUUUUUUUUAUAUUAUGCAUGUUCGUUUUAAGGUUCAUGUUCGGAAUUUAUGGUUGUCUCUCCCAAUAAUAUUGUUUCCAAAGUUUGAACCUACGUUCUCCCCAUAAGAAUGCAAUGUGUCAUACCAUUGCUGUAAUUUUGACAUUAAAGUUUUAAGGAAUUUGUAGAUUCUAAGAGAACAGGGAUUCAGGAGACGAGCAGUAAAGAAACUAGUAAGAACUUAGAUGAUAUGAGCGCUCUCUCUUUCUCUCUGUGCAUUUUUUUUUGUCUUGAACAUGGUUUAAAAAAUCAAUUCAAGUCUAAAUAAUUUUGGAAUAGAUUCAUUUGAGUUUAAUAUUCAAAUAAUUCAUAUUUGGAUCAUUGAAUUUAACUAUUUUUAAAUCAAAUUAUUGAAUUUUCUCCCAUUUAUCAGUAUUUCCUACAUUUUCUAAUGUCAAAAUUGUUAAGGUACCAAAUGAAUAGUAUUAUAUUAAGAAACCAAAAAAUUAUAAAGCUAAUUAAUAAUAUAACAAAAUUCUAUUGCAACUAAAAGAGAUUUGCAUAAAUGUACCAAAAAGAAAAGAUAAAACUACCAUACUAUACCUGUUAAGGUGUUAUAAGAAAGAUUGAGUGUAAUUAGAGAAGUCAAAUUUCCAAAAACGACUGGAAUUUCACCUGAAACAUAUAAUUAAAUAUAUUAAAAUUUACUAAUAUUUUUCUACCAUAUCCUCAGUUUCUUCGUGAGCACUAUAGGCGUAUGCUGUUGUGUUUUUUUUUUUAACAUGUAAAUUUCAUUCAAUUUGAGAGUACUUAUGCCAGCUCCAACUAAUUUUAAUUACUCAGAAGAAAACCGAAAUUUUAUAAAACCCUCUGCCACAAAGCCACCACAAGAGAUCACUAGAAAAAAACUGAAGCAUCCAAAAAAUCUAUCGAGCACUGAACUCGAAAAGACAUCACCAUCAAUAUGAACAAACAUUAGUUGUAGGUUAACAAAUAUGAUAUUCAUCACUUCAAUUAAAAAGUUCUAAGGAAACGAAAGUGCAAAAUCUGAAGAGUUCAGUUAAAGGCUUAAAACGAGUCCUUAUAAGAUGGCAAACCUGACAAGAGGAGUGAAGUCAUACUUGAUAAGAUGACUCAAUUGACACAAAAACAAAUAAAGAUUUACUGUAUGACUAAGUUCAUUUUUAUUAGCAUUAAACUAAAUAGUUAUUGUUUAAUUCCAUACUUCAAUAUUUAAAACAAUUGUUGAUUGAAAUUAUAUAAGAAAAAUGAAUAAAACAAUAAUGAGGAAUUGCUUACCCUUGAGGUUGUUGUAAUCAAGAUAUAAAUCUUCGAGCGAAGUCAAAUUUUCAAUCUCUCUAGGUAUACUUCCCUCCAAAGCGUUGUUAUAUAAUGAUAAAUACGACAGCUCUUUACACUUGAAUAAACUACUUGGAAUUUUACCGAAAAUCCGAUUCCAUUUUAAGUUAAGUACUUGCAAUUUCGAAAAGUUAUCAAAUAUUCUUGAUGGCAGACAACCUGCAAUGAAAAAUUUGUUAGUUGUCAAACCAAUUUUUUUGUGGAAAAAUACAUUCAAGAUAAUCAAAGUUUUCCAAGUAUAACCAAGUCAAGUUUAAAAGAUUUCCAAGGCAUAUGCGUCUAAAAUAGUUGCUUACAUUAAUAAUACAUAAAAUGUGAUAUUGUACCUGAUAAAUUGUUAUAAGAAAGAUCGAUGUAAAGGAGAGAAGUCAAGUUUCCAAUACUGGAUGAAAUUUCACCUGAAAUAUAUAAUUAAAUAUGUUAAAAAUUAUUAAUAUUUUUCUAGCAUACCCAUGGUUUCUUUGUUGAGUAUACUAUAGGCAUAUGCUUUCUUUUCCUCCUUUUUUUUUUAAUGUAAAUUUCGUUCAAUUUAAUAGUACUUAGAUAGCACCAAACAAUUUAAUUAUAAUGAAAAGAAACCUAAAAUUUAUAAAUCCCUAAGUGGAAAAAAAACACCACAAGAGAUCACAAAAAAAAAGGGUCACUAUAGUUUCGUUCAAUGAAGAACUCAUACUUGUAAGAAUAUAGGGAAGUUUAAAAAAUUGGGUUCAUGGAAUCUGUUUUAGUGUUCAUGCUAAUCAAAAGGUCUCUAUGAAGUGUGCAUCUUCAUUAGAGGAGACUGGCAGCAAAAAAUGGAUAGAAGGAAACAUGUGCCUCGAGAAGCAAUUAAUGCGGUGGCCUUGGAAAAUACUUGUGGUACCAACAGUAGUCAAGAUUUGUUGUAGUCUGAUGUACAUCCGGAUGGAUUGAGGCAGGGAUAGGGAUCGUAAUGCUUUGGAACAAAUUGAAGGAGCCACCGUUAGUGGUAAAGGCAUCGGGGAUGAGAUUAUAAAGGUAAUUAAUAAUAUAUAACAGAGUGCCACGAGAAAAAAAAAAAAGAUUGCAUAAUUGUAACAAGGAAAAGAAAAUCAAUUUUGUACCUGUUAAGUUGUUCAUAGAAAGAUCAAUGACCUUGAGUGAAGUCACGUUUCUUCUAGUUGAUGAAAUAUCGCCUGAAACAUAUAAUUAAAUUUGUCAAAUUAAUUUGGUGAUAGAAUUAUGUUUUGUUUUGUUCAGUAUAAUAGUGCGAAUGAGUAUCUUUGCGGUAAGACCUAUAAUCGUAGCUAGAACUCUCUGAAAUUUUUAAUAUUUUCCCUCAAACUUAUAAUUAAAUGCUCUCCAAAUAUUGAAUGAAGUUUUUGGAUUUUUUCCCAAAAAGUUGACGUCCAAAAAAGUCAAGAUAAAGUAAUCAACCAUAUUCAAAGAGAGAUAACCAAAAGAUUUUUUGUAUUGCACUGAAAUAUUUUGCUACUGCAACGGAAAAAUGUUAAAGAUUGAGGAAGGAACAGAACCUGCAGUUAAUAAUAUAAAUAUUCAUUAACUGACAAUUUAGACAAGGGGCAUCACUAUGAUAAAAUUCCCACAUGCAAUAAAUAACAUAUUUUGAACUAAAAUUGCUGACAUGACUAACAAUGGUACUUAUUUGACAUCAAAUAAUCGGCUGAGGGCUGAAUCGGUUCAAAUUUUUAAAAAAUAAAAUCGAGAAAGGUAUGAAACCUAAAAAGAGUUACCAUUCAAAUAUACCGAUAUCAAGUUUGAAAGAUUUUCAAUCGUUCUAAGAAUUUAUCUUUUAAAAUCGUUGUUAUACAAUAACAAGUGUUCUAAUUUUGACAAAUUACCUAGAAUAGAUGGGACAACACCAUUGAAGUAGUUAUCGGAUAAAGAUAGACUUUGAAGUUUAGGAAAGUAACCAAACCAUGACGGGACUUCUCCAUUGAAACUGUUGUUAUUAAAGUUUAAAUAUUUCAGACGAUAUAAAUUAGUUAGCUCAAUGGGUAAAGAGCCAUGAAAAUUAUUGUUAUGAAUGUCGAGGCAAGCAAGGAAAGAUAAAUUCCCCAAUUGAGAAGGGAUGAUGCCUGUGAGAUCCAUAUUUGACAAAUUCAGAGCAAUGACUCUGUGGUGUCUGGAUCCACAAGUGACACCAAUCCAAUUGCAAACUGAAGUAGAAGUAGACCAAUUGGUUACUAAGUGAUGAGGAUCAUGACUUAUAUAAGAUUUCAGUGCUAGAAAAUUUAAUUCAUCAGCGGUGAUAUUGAGUGAAUUUACAGACAAAAUAGCACCAAAAAUCACCAACAGCGCAAACAUAGGAAAGGGGAGGAAGAUGGUUUUAGCCAUAAAGUUGGGUGUGGGUAUAAAGCAAAUCAUAAAGAGCAAAACAGCUGAAUUUAAUACUUUCGUAAUGUUAGUUGAAUAUUCUUUAAAUACUUCGAUUCCAGCCCCUUCAUAAAUCAUAAUAAUAAUAAUUCAGGCCUCCAAUCGUUGUACAAGUAAAAAGCCGAUCAUAUUCUGCGAAAACUCCAAAUAUAAAAAGAGUCUAAACAAUUAACGUAAGGUGAAAAAUGAAAACCUCAUAUCUACCAUAUCUACCAUGUUGACUAUGCACCCUACUUCUAUAUUUUGUCAUAGAUUCUAGAUCUUAAUAAUUUUGAUAAAAAGAAAACAUUAUCAUUAACAUGUCAUAUCGUAAAAUUAUGUACAUUUUUAAAGCUUCAAUAAAAAAAUUCGAGGAAAAUUUAGAGGAAAUUAAUGAGAGAUUGAAAAGGACACAUCGAUGGAAUGAUCCUGGUUUCAAGAUAAAAAAAAUUAUUUUGUAAACAAAGACCCGAUGAACGAUGUAUAAUGCAAAAGUUGUUCACAUGGAGUAUUAUAAUUCUCAAGUGACGGAAUCCUGCACUCUUGUUUUGUCAUUAUCUUGGUUUUCCACAAAUACAUCCAAGAUUAAGUUUGUUUAUGAUAUUUCGUGUUGCCUUAAAUAAAUGAUCCUAAAAUGCUGAGAAAGAUCCUGCUAACCUAACACAAUUAACUUCUGUCUAUGCUAAUAUGAAUUCUAAUGCUAAAUGUCAUUGUUAAAUGAUGUAUAUACUUUCGUUUUCUUGACUAUACACGACGAUUUUGCAAAUUAGACAAUAAUGUAAUUUUCAAAUAUAAUGUUUUUUUAGCAAUGACUUCAUUUGUUUAUCUAAAAAUGUUUACGAUGAUAAUAUUUUAUUUAUAAAAAUUUUUACCUAACAAUAAUAUAUUGGUUGCAAAUUAGAAUNNNNNNNNNNNNNNNNNNNNNNNNNNNNNNNNNNNNNNNNNNNNNNNNNNNNNNNNNNNNNNNNNNNNNNNNNNNNNNNNNNNNNNNNNNNNNNNNNNNNCAACAAUGUAAAUUUAGAUGCUAUAUCUCUUACAUAACAAUAAAACUAUUGGCUAGCUGUCAAAUAUUAUUUUGUAACAAUAUUUUAAUUGGAUGUGUAUUACUUUAUGCUACGUUUGUAUAUCAUUGUUAAGAAUUUAUUUUAACAACCAUAAAAUGUGGUUGUCAAAUACUUUACGCAACAAUAAUAAUAUGGUUGUUAAUACUUAGAGAUGGCAAAAAAAUACGAACCUGACAGAUUUCAACUCAACCCAAUCGGUUAGGGUCGAGUUUUUUAUUUUUGAAAUCGGGUUUGGGGUGAGAUGGGGUGGAUUUUAAUAUUAAAAUUAGUCGGGGCAAGACAGGUUCAAGUUUAGGACUAAUUUGCCAUGCCCUACCCAUAGAUAUAUACAAAAGUACCCUUGUAUCUAUAACUUUGGGUUUUUUUCAAAGGUUAAACUUUGUCAUUAGUCUUUGUACUUCGUGAAAGUUUUUUUUUAAUCCAUGUACUUUUAUCUGAUUAUUUUUAGUUUCUGUACUUUUCAAAUUUUAAAAAUUCAGUCCUCUCCAAAUUAUAAACUAUUAAUUUCAUUCAAUUAAGUUAUAUUCUUUCCCAACUUUGAUGCGGGAAACAUAUUAUCAUAUGUGUAAUGUCAUGUUAGCUUUUUUUUCACAUAUUACUCACUAAAAAAUUAGUUAAUGGAUUAAUAAAGAUCUUUUGCGUCAAGAUUGAAAUUGCAAAAUUCAAUAAAUAUGGGGACUUAGAAUGAUCUAGUUGGAGAAUAUGGAUUUAAUCUAUAAUUGUGCGCAUUGUACAAGACUAGUAAUUGAACAUAACCAAACUGAUUUAACUGCUACUAUUUGAGUCAAGAUUGAAAUUAACCAAUUCAAAAAGUACAGGGACUAAUAAUAGAAUUUAACCUUUUUCUCUCUUCUUUUAUUAUUUUUCUAAUUCAUGUACAUGUUUUUCUCCUUUCUUCUUCCAUUUCUUUUUCUUAAGUCCUUUAAUUUACUUGUGACGAUAUUAUCAAGUUGUUAGACAACUCAGCUUAUUAUGUUUUAAUGAAAUGUUUAUUAUUGUUGUUCUUAUUUGUUGUUGAGAUGAAAUUGAUAUUUGAAGUUUGAUUCUAGCGGUGUUAAGAGCCGCAUCAAUUCCUUCAUGCACUAGUAAUGAAAAAUGCAGGGAAAAAAAAAUAAAGAAUGCAAGGGAUGUUUAUGUAGUUAGGUUUCCUUAGCUAGAGAAAAUAACCAUUAUCUUAGAACCUCAUACAACAAGUGUUUUCAAGCUCUAAAAUUGAUCAGUUUAGACUUUUCACUUUCAUACCUAAGACCUAAACAUCUCCCCUAAAAAACGUAAGACUCUAACCAAGUCACACACAUGAUUAUUAUAGUAUAAUUCACUCACAAAAUGUCCCUCACUAAACAAAUUAAAGUGCUCUCUCUCUCUCUCUCUCUCUCUCUCUCUAUAUAUAUAUAUAUAUAUAUAACAUAUACAAGUCCCCCCAUAUACAAGUGAAUGAGACUUGCUUACAUACUAAAUCUAUUACAAUCCAUUAUCCCUCCUAAAACGCAAGAUAAAACAAACAAAUAAUAUCUUCUAAAUAGCAUAAGAUAAGGCUUGAAUCAACCGGGUAUCCUUCUUUCUAUGGCUUGAUCUGAUCCAAUCCAUAAGUUAAGGGAUGAUACAAAUCUCCAAGAACUCUUGCUAAGUGAAGUUUGGAUAUUAAGGAUGGGUUGACAGAUAGCCCAAGAUAAUAAUAAAAAACUACAGCCCAAAGAUAUUUGUUAUCAAAAUUUUCCAACGCAAAUAUGACAGUUAUCUAUGUAGCCAGUGCUACUCCUAGUUAGCGCUGGUACAAACACUACCUUAAAAAUGCUUCAACAAUCUCCUCUUUUGACAAAUUUUUGAACAAAACAGUAAUUGACACAGACACACAAUACGGGUAUGACAUGAUACAUAUACGACGACACGAUAAUUUUUUAAAAUUGAGGAUACGGGUACAGCAGAACACGACAAUAAAAUUUUAUAUAUAUUAUGUUAAAAUACUUCAUGUAAAUGAAAAUGUUGACACUUCCCAUUAACAAAUAAUCUCUUCUUCUUUUUUUACAUAAAGCUCUCUAUCAUUACACAAAAUAUGACAUAACAUAAGUAAUACAUUUUCUAAGUUCAAUUUCAUUAAACAAAAUAUGUCAUAACUCAUAACAAAGGUCAUUUUCAAGUUCAAUUUAUACCCUUAAUAAAAAGGCUUGUACAAAAAGAUGCAAAAAGAGAACACUCUCCAAGUUCAAUUCAUAGCAUUAGCAUUUCCAAUCUCUUCAUCAUUGGUAAAAAUUACCAUCUUCGUGUCCAGUUUAUCAAAAGAUAAGCUAGCAACUUCAAGAACUCCAGCUCCUUCAAAUGAGUCAAAUACAUUAUCUCCAAUAUCACAUAGCUUAUCAUCUCCUUUGUAAUGAUGAGUAUUUCUUGAAAGCAAUUAAAGAUUAGUAUGCACAAAUACUAAAUCUAUGGCACGUUGAGGACUCAUCUUGUUUCUCCUCAUUGAGUGGAUAAAAGAAUAUGUGCUUCAAUUCCUCUCACAGCAAGAUGAUGAGUAAGGUUGUCCAAGAAGCUUUUAAGGUUAAAUUUUGAAGCAAAGGUAUCGAAGCCCCAUGAAUUAACCUCCAAGACUUAGGCCCUAUUCUUUAUUGCUUAAAAAAAACACUUCUGACUCCAAAAGUACUUCUGAAAGAAAAGCUGUGCAGAACAAGCUGCUUUUGCCUGAAAUUUUUUAGCUUUUCAGAAAUACUUUUCAAAAUUACUUCUGAAAAGGAGAAGCUAAAAAUUUUAGCUUUUCCUCUCCCAAAAGCAUUUUUGGUGCUUAAUUAAUUACUUUUCACCCUUCCAAUAACAUAGUACUUUCAUUUUUUUCUUGGUGCUUAAUUACAAAUGUGUUAAAAUUAUUAAUUAAAAAUUAAAAAUAUUUUUUAAAAUACUAAUUACAAAUAUUUAAUUGUUAAUAUUUAAAUAUUUAAAAUAUAGUUUAUAUAUUCUAAUUAAAUUUUAUAGAUAAUUAAUAUUUAUUGCUUAAAAAUAUUUAAAAUUUAUAUUUCAUAUAUUAAAAUAUUAACAAGUUAUAAUAAAUUUUUUUAUAUUCUUACUAAAAUAUAAUAAUAUUAACUAAUUUAAAUAUGAUUGAAAUGCAUAUUUUGUUACUUGAUAAUAACAUGUCUAAAAUGGACAUUUUAUUUCUCAAAAGUACUUUUUGACAGCAAUACUAAACACUCAAAUUUUAAACCAAACUUUUCAAAAGCACUUCUCAAAAGCACUUUUCCACAACACUUUUUAAAAACACUUUUCAAAAGCAUUGCUAAACUAGCCCUUAAGAUCCAAAAGUCAUCUAUCUUGUAGUGAAUCAAAUGAAUCAAAAUUAUCAAGUGCUCUCGAAAAUCUAGCGAAUUCUUGAAAAAUCAUCUUCCUUUCCUUGGUAGAAGGAAAAUAUCUUCUUCAACACUAGUUCCUUUCCUCUGAGAUUUCUACAUCCUUAUAUAGAGGAAGGCAAUUUGGUACUUCAUCAAACCAUUCACUACAAUAAUACCUAUGUAAACAAAUAUAAUCAAAUUUUAUUAAUUUAUAAUAAGUAAAAAUAAAUAAAGAUAUAUUUUAUUUUAUAAUAACAACUACCAAACGAAGAUAUGUCAUUAAAAUUUACCUCGGAUUCAAUGAAUGAGCCAUGCAAUAAAGUGAUGUACUAUUCUUAGUCCACUAAUCAAUAAGAAUAUCAUACACCUCUUCACAAAAUAUUGAUCUUUCAUCUCCUUUCUUUCCUUCAUGCUUAUAAAUGUUUGUCUUCAUUUUUUCAAUCAUUUCAUCCUUCAUCUCAUAAAUUAAGUGAAGAUUUAUUAGUUUAAAAAAUUGUGUUAAUUUUACAAAAAAAUUACUAAAAUCUGUAAUCUAUCUAUAAUCUAUAUAAAAGUAUGAUUUAUAAUUGCUCCUCGCAAUCUUUUUAGUUGAUCUCUUUUUUAAUUUUUCCUAUUAAAAUAGCCUUAAAACUUAGUACAAUAAAACUUUCUAAUUUAUAAUUAAAGGGAUUACUUGAUUAUAAGAUUUUUAAAAAAAAUUGACCCCUACUCUUUUAUUGGGCCAAUAUUGUUAUUUAUUAAUAAACAAAAUAUAAAUUUAUAAUUUUUCUUAUAAUUUUAUAAUUUUUUAAAUAAUUUUUAAAUUUUAAAAGGGCUUACUUGAUUUUUUUAAAAAAAUUUUUUCCUAAUGCCUUUUUAACCCUGUAGCUUUAUUAAUUUCAAAAUUUUCUAACUUAUUUCAAAUAAAAGAGUAAGGUCAAAUUGAAUAAAUGUAUAAAGGUUGAGAGUUAAAUUUAUUAUUAUAUCUUGUAUAUAGACUCCAAAUUUUAAUUUGAAUCUAAUUUAUGGUAACUAAUUUAUCUAUUUUUUAAUCAAAAAUUAAAAUAUAGUAAAAAAAAUUUUGUGACACUUUUACCUAUAUCAUAUUAAUAGAUAAAACGAAAUAAUUAACAAAAUGGUUAAUGGUGAAAUCUUCUAAUUGAGUAAAAAAGAAAGCACUAAUAAUUUAUUGAUUUUAAUGAAGGGGGUCUCAUUUAUAGAAACGUGUCUUUUUCCCCUCCCCUGCACAACAUUCAAUUUGACCGCACAAAUUAAGUUAUCCUUUCAAUAAUUAAUUUUAAUUAUAUUAUCCUUAAUCUUCACUCUACUCUUUUAAAAUAUUUAGUGAUUCUCACUUUCAAAUUCGUAAUUAGUGUUUACCUCUUUAAUGAUCUAUAAAAUAUGAAAGAUUAGUCAUUAGACUCGCUCUAAUGAAUAUAUUUGAGAAAUCAAAAAUAGUAAAUUAAGGGUGAGUUUGAAUGGGCGGUGCGUUUACUUACGGUUAGUGUUAAAACAACAAUGGUAGUGAAAUUAAAUAUUGUAACAAUACUGUAACGUGAAACAAGAAGUAAGCUAAACGCACCGCACCUCACCACCCAUUCAAACCGAUCCUAAAUAUAGUUCCUCAUCACCGGACUCCACCUUAAUAUUUCUUUACCUUAUCUAAUAUUUAUUGGAAAAUUAUUCCAUAAAUUAUCUAUAAAAAUUAUUAAAUUUUACAAGUGAAUUGAAGAUUUGACAAAUAUAUAAUUUAAAAAAUAUAUAUAAAUAAAUAAAUCAAAAGUCUUCCAAAACCUGAGUUGACACCAAAAUAGUAGCAUUGGAGACAUCAAAAACAUCCACAAUUAAUCAAAGACCAACAACAAAAAACCAAAUUGACCAAACAAUAUAUCUCCACCACAAAAACCACCUUGCCCACAACCAUGGAUAAAGCCCAUCCCUCAAAGUUGAACUGCACCAAUAAUCCAAAAAUGUCGCAGAGAUCCAACACCGAGAUUCAAAUCAACCAAGUAAAAAUCACAAUCCAAAAUUCAACGGAGAACAACCAAAAUAACACCACACACAAUCAAUUGAACCAAAUAUACAAAGAACACUCCAAACUUCAAUAUCCACAUUCUCUCCUCCAAUCCAAGAAAUACCCACCACAAACUCUGAUCCAAAAGCGAUGCACAAUACACAAAAGAACAAUAAAUAACUCUUAUCUUCAUCACUCAUAAAAACAUGGAACCUCAACAAAACUUAAAAUCAUAUCUCCGCUAAAGAAUGGAUCAUAGGUUUAGAUAGAGUCAUCCUUACGAACGUAACAACUUCACUUCACGAAACAUGAAAACGCAUCUUAUUGCUUUAAAGUUUACCAGUUAAUCUAUCCAUCUCAAGUUGAACUAAAUCAUUGAUAACUUCCUCGUCAUUUCUGUCUUCCCUAAGACCUAACAUUUUACCUAAUUCCCAAGCUUCUAUGGCCUCUUUCAAAAUUACUUUCUUACCAUUCUUGAAAUCAGAAACCGAAAGCGAUUUAAUGGCAAAUUUCUUUAACGAUGUAGUACAAGCCAAAAAUCUAGAAUGACCCUUUCUUUAAACUGUUGAUAUCAUCGUUAAAGGGCUCAACAAUGUAGUUCGUCCCAUCCUGUAAUAGCUCUCAUUGAGCUCAUUAGGAUCAUAUCCAUAUCCUUUUCUUUUGAAGAGCCCAAAAUCAAAUUAUUACCUAAUUAAUUGAUGGAGGACGGACUCUUUGGAGAAAUUUUGAAAAUGUCCUUCGUCAGACAGUCGAUUCAGUUCGCUGACAAUUGAUGGUGUUGACACCAUAUUUUUGAAAAUUAAAAGUUUUAGGUUGUUGGCUUUAAAAAACGAAAAUUGGGAGUCGCCACCAAUCUUUAUUAGGGUGUGAUUGGAUCAUCUAAAAAAACGGCUUUGGUCUACGAGUUUUAGAAAAAUGGAUCCGGGAGUCAGUUACGUAUAAGGAAGGAUUAGCACCCUCAUUACGCCCAAAAAUUGGUACCUAGUUAAUUGAUUAAUGUCUUAAGGUCGAGAAUUUGGAAAAACGUAAUCCUUAGCAAAACUUAAAAGGCUACGUAUUAAGACCCUUAUUAUUUCAGAGAAAGAAGAUACCACACCCAAUGCGUUAGGGCACAGCAUUCUAAUUUUCCCCAAAAAUGAAUUGGGCCAAAAUACUUGUGCAAUAAAACUUUAAAAGAACAUCCAUUUAUCCAAGAUUUAAGAAAUCACACCCAAUACGUUAGGGCACGAUUCCUCUAAAAUCCCAAACUCGGAAUAUGUCCUUUACUUCAAAAGAACAUCCACUUAUCCAAGAUUUAAGAAAUCACACCCAAUACGUUAGGGCACGAUUCCUUUAAAAUCCCAAACUCGGAAUAUUUCCUUUAUGAUUUUUAAAAGAAAUAUUCAUUUCGAGAAAUCAAUGUGUCACAUCCAAUACGUUAGGACACAACGUAUUGAAUUCCCAAUAAUGAAUUCUUAUUUUUUGACUAAAGAGAAAUGCUCGAUUAUUGGAUUUAACAAAGAAAAUCGGAACCCAAUACGUUAGGGCUCAAUUCCCUUGAAAAUCCUAAAUACGAGCAUUAUCUCAAUUUGGAAAACUUUCUAUUUUUUAAAAUUGAGUAAAAUGAUGUAAUGUUAUGUUGAAUGCAUGUAUAAAUAUUGCAAUAACAAAUAACAAUAAUAAAACGUCAAUUGUAUAUAAAUAAGAUAAACAAAUGAAUAAAUAAAAAUUAAAAAAAAACCAAUGAUAUGCAAAGUAUCAAAAAAAUAUGAAAACAUAAAUCAACAAACAAAUGAACAAAAAAUAUAAAGGAAAAAACGCAUAAUAUAUACAUUGAAAUUUAAAAAAAAGCUAUAAAAUUUAUAUAAAAAAUAUUUAUAUAUAUAAUACAUUUAUGAGAAUAAAGAAAAAUAUAUAUAGAAAUUAUAAAAAUAUGGGUAGAAAGUAUAAUAUAUAUAUAUAUAUACGUACAUAUAUAUGUAAGUUAAUAAAUAUAGACCAUAAAGAUAAUGACUGCAUAUAUGUGUAUAUAUAUAUAUAAAUUAUAAAAUAUGUAUAGAAAGUAUAGUAUAUAUACGUACAUAUAUAUAUAAGGUAACAAAUAGAUACAUCAUAAACAUAAUAAUUACGCAUAAAAACACGCGGAUCCUGAGUCCGGAUCGGGUAUAUGAGGGAUCUUGCCCCCUUAAACGGCACCGUUUCAAUUUUAUUAUAAAAGCAACAUUUUAAAACAAAAAAAAAUCACUUUCUGCCAUAUUUAUAAAAAAACAAAACUUAUGAACCCUAGCCUCCUCUGCUAGGGUUCCAACAGUCAACCACCGCAUCCCCUUCAACCCCGAUCUGAUCGGAGCAAAUGGGGUUUCUCGUCUCCUUCCCGCAAGUAAGUAUUCCUUUUCUUCCUUUUCGUGUAUUUAAAAAAAUGAAAAAAAGAUUCGGGUAAAAUAAAUAGAAAAGAAACUGAAGUUCGAAAAAAACUAUCAACCUUUUGAUUUUUUGAUUGAUCUUUGCUCUUUGGUACUUUAUUUGCUAUGAAAAUAAUAAUUUUUUUUUUGUAUUGAUUUUUGAUCCCCAUUACAGUAUCGUCAAUGGCUUUAUAUAGCCAUAAUAUAUAAAAAAUAUAGAAAUAAAAUCAUGUUUACAUUGAUUUGAUUCUCAAUCUCUUGAUUUCCUUCCAUAUUUUGCUUUCUUUCCUUGUUGUGCAGGUGAAGAUCGGGUGGAGGUGGCUUGCGGCGCUGUUGAUCCUCAAAAACCCUAGGGUUUCCUCAUCCGUUUUGGACCACUGUAUUUGGGCCAUAUUCGAAAUUGGGCCACUAUUUUAAAUCGGUUUGGGCCUUUUACUCGGGACAAAAUCGGGUAUUACAGAUGGUAUUAUCUCCGAAAGAGGGUUUCGUCUCCUCUGCUUUGUCGAGAUUCAGAAUGCCACAAGUGGUUGCCCUAAAGGCUUGGUUCAUAGAGCUCAAGUGGUACCAUAUGUCCUAACAAAUGACCUAUACAACAUAGGUGAGGAGUUCAAACCCCACCAAGAAGAAUUGCUCUUGCUUCUCUUUCUAUCUGUCUUCCUCUCAUUUUCUUAACCUUGUCACUUUGAUGUAUUGUUUGGUUGUGUUUUGCCUUGAUCUAUUUUGUUGUGUUCCUGUGAUGUUAAUACAUAGAUUUUAAGGUUUUCAGCGCAACAUAAAUAUUGUGACUAGUAAUUUGAGUAAGGAAUAAUUACAACAAACGGAACAGCCAAAAAAAAAAAUGGAAGACUUAGCCCCAACUGAUUUGAUGAAACUCUUAUUGCUUCAACGGUCCAUACAUCUAGCAUUAGCCAAGCACACCAUGAUUAAGUUUUUAAUUUAAAUUUGAUUCUAAAAAUAUAUAUAAAUUUAAAAAUUAAAAAUUAAAAUGAUAUAUAAAAAACUUAAAAAAAUUUAAAAUUAUAUUGUGCAAUUGUGAAACAGUCGAAAAUAAAUUCCUACUCAAAAAUAAUUUUACAAAUAGCAGUGAAUAGUAUCAAAUCCAUAGAAAUUGGUGAUUCUGUGUAAUCAAUAAAAAUAAGCAAAUUAAAAAUGAUGGAGAGAUUUUUGUAAAACUAAAAUAAAAACUAGAACUAAACAAAAUUAAAUUUCAAACCUACUAAAAAAAACCAAUAAUCAAAAGUUGGAGAGAAAAUCAAUAAGGUGAAACUUUGGCCAAGGUAAAAUCUCCAUUUGAUUCAUGAAUUUUAUUAUUAAAGAAAAGAUGAUUUUCAGUGUGUUUUAAUAAAUUGAUUAUAGUUUCCAAUAAUCAUUUAGCAACUAAUUCUUUCUUCUUCUUUUUUACUUUUUCAAUAAUUUAGACAACCGUAAUUAAUUAAUUGAUUAACCAAUACUAACACUACAAACAUUAGUUGAUGAACUAAUGCUUCCACUACCACAAGCACUUUGAGAAGAAGUCGCGGUUAAAAACUUAAAAUAUAAACAACAAUAAAAAAGAAAAAUCAAUUUAUGCUUCAAAGUAACAUGAAAUUAUUUAACUAUAUAACACUAUAAAAAUAUGCAAUAAAUUAAAAAUAACCCAUUCACAAACAUAAAAGAAAUGCUAAACAUACCUACUUUGGAGCCUUGAAAUCGGAAAUUUUGAAGUUGUUUAAAAAAAUCAUUUAAAUAUUACGAUUUUUUUAAAUAUUUAUAAAUUAUAUUGAGAUAAUAAUUUAAUUUCAUUUAUUCAAAAUUAUGUUAUUAAUCCAAAUAAUAUAAUGAGGUAACAUUCGGUAUUGGUUAAAUUAACCUAGCGAGGUAACAUUUAAUAAUUCACUUGAUGUUGAUGUUGUGAGAUAAUAAUUUUAUUUAUUCAUAAUCAUGUUACUAUAAUCCAAUUGAUAUACUAACAUUACAUUUACUAGUGGUUGAAUUAAUCCAAUUGAUGUAAUGAUGAUUUAGGGUUUGGUAAUCCAAUUGCUAUAGUGAGAUAUAAAAAUCCAUUUGAUGUAAUGAGAUCAUAAUUUAAUUUAAUCACUUUGUUAUUGGUUGAAUUAAUCUAUUUAAUGUAGUAAAUGCUAUUGGUUGAAUUAAUUCAGAUGAUGUAGUGGGGUAACAUUUGCUAUGACAUAAUAAGGUGGUUUGUCAUUCCAAUUGGUGUAGUAAGAUAUUUAAUAAUUUAAUUGGCGAUAAUUUACUUUCAUUUAUUCACAAUCAUAUUAUUAAAAUAUUAGAAUCUAAUUUAAUCUUAAUUAAUUAAAAUAUUUUGAGCUAACGUUCGUAUAAAUCAAAUGUUAUUAUUUGUAUUUAUUGAUAAAAAAGUUAUGUUAUUUAAUCUAACAAUUAUUAUUUUUACUUAUAUGAUUAAUGUAAUUAACUAAUAAUUUGGAUAAUAUUAUGAGUUUAUAUGAAUUAAAUGUUAUUCGUCUAAUCUCUUUCUUUAUUUGGCGUAUCCCGUGCGUAUCUACAAACAUAUGUCUAUAUUGGAUACUUGUGCGACACCGCUACGAUGAUUAUUUCGAUGUAUCGGUGCUCUAUAGUUUACAAGUUUAGAUCGACACGAACAAAUUUUCAUACUCGAAGCACGUUUUGACAGCUCUUAAAACAACGUCAAAGAAAAAUACUGAUAAAUGAAACAUGUGCUUCUUCUCUGCCUAUAGUGUUGCCUCUGUCAAUAGUAACUGGGUUGCCAUGUGACUCACCAUGUUGAAAUAUACAUGUGCUACUACAGAAUUGCCAUGUGAUGUUUCUGCAGUUCCAAGUGGGCUGUCAUGUGAUGUUCAAAUACACAUGUGCUACAAUCUGGAGUUGACUUAAAUAUAUUUAGUGGGGCCCACAAUCUCGAGUUGACUUAAAUUUUAGUGGAGCCCAUCGUUCUCCUAGUAAUAUUUUAUAUGUUGAGACUUCAAGUGGUUGACGUGAUGAAGAAAGGCAAAAUAUAUGCCGUGAUUCACUCCAGAAUGCAAGUGCAUCUGAUAAAUCGCAAUUGCCAGUUGAUGACUAAUAGCUAUGCCUUCCCAUCCCAUUCUUACAAACAAGGGCUCAAAAAGGGAUUUUUAAACCCACUUUGCUCUUCUUCGAUUCAUUGCAUGUUGUAUAGAUAUAUGUUGUCCAUUGUCAAACUAAUGUUUGCAAAAUUAUAUAAAUAAUUAUAUUAUUUUUAAAAGAUAAUACUGUUUUUUUUUUUUUUACUUUUCUCUUUAUAUAAUUGUGGAAUAAUCAAAUUCAAUAUUAGUGUAAAAUCUGUCAAUGCAUUUCCAUAAAUAUAAAGUUCAAUUGAAAAAAUUUGGGAUUGGAAUAAUAAAUUUAUUUUGAAAGUCAUAUAAUAAUUAGAGGAUUCCAUUAAAGAUUUGUCUACGCGAAUGAUUAAUGGAGAUGGGAAAUAAAAUUAUAUGGAAGUUAUACAACUUUACAGUUAAAGGUCAAAUUUUGCUACUAGUCCAUGUAUUAUGUGUCUGUUAAAUUUCUUAAGUUAAACUAUUUUAUUUUCAAAAUCUUUUACCAUAAAAUAUUAUUACAUAAAUAAUAACUUAUUAGCUGAUAUUUCCAAAUAAUACUAAAAAAAUCAUGGUAUUUAAGAAAAUGAAUUUAACAAUCAUAGUUUGAAUCAAGAUUAAAAUUUUAAAUCUAAAAGUAUAUCGGUUGAAAAGAAUCAAAUUGGAGAAUAAAGACUUAAUUCACAACCUAUGCAUAGUACGAUAUUAAUAGAAAUUUUUUAUCUAACAUAUUUAACCAGUACCGUUGACCAAAUUGACCUAAAGUAUCAAAAUUUGAAAAGUACAAUACUAAAAUUGACUAAAUUACAAGGACUAAAUCUACAAAUUUCGCAAAAUAUAUGGACUACUAGCAAAAUAUGGCCUAAAUAAAAUUACUCACUCUUCCUCCAACUUGGUUUCCAGUUAAAUAAGACUGGCUGUUGCUACUUCUUUCCACACUUCACAAUAAAGUCUUUCUUUUUUCUUUUCACGCUCGCUAGAAUUGAAAUUAUAGAAAGAUUACAUUUUGAGAAAUUAAUUUUCAGAACAAUCUAUGGAUUUCUCUGCUGUGUCUUAUGCUCUCGAAACAAUCAACAAGCUAACACAAGAAGUUACAUCCUUGUGGGGCGUCGAUGAACAAGUUGAGGGCUUAGCAAGUGAGCUGAGAUGGAUGCAAAGCUUCUUGAAAGUGGCAGACGCAAGAAAAGUUGAUCAUGAGGUGAUACGUACCAGCGUUGUUGAGAUCAGAGAGUUGGCCUACGAUGCUGAAGAUGUGAUCGAGACGUUUUUCCUCAAAGUUGCUUCCAAAAGGAAAGGUGGAUUUUCAAAUUGCAUCAAGAGAUCCACUUGUUUCCUCAAGGAGGGAUGCCUGCUCCACCAGAUCAAGUCAGAGAUAGAGAAAAUCACAGCCAGAAUCAAAGUAUUGACUCGACAAUUGAAGACGUAUGAUGUAUCAAAGUUAGGUGUUGAUGGAGAAGGACCAAGUUCUUCAACUGAAAGGCGGGAGGCAAGGCGGCCUUAUCCUCAUGUUAUGGAUGAUAAUAUUGUUGGAUUGGGUAAGGAUAUUGAGAAACUGGUCUCAGUUCUUGUCGAUGAGGAAAGCGGAUGCAAGGUCCUCUCCAUAUGUGGCAUGGGUGGUCUGGGGAAGACCACUCUUGCUAAGAAAAUAUAUAGUCAAAGCCAAGUUGUUGGUCAUUUCAAGCACUUGGCUUGGGCAUACGUUUCUCAAAACUGUCAAAAAAGAAAAGUAUGGGAAGACAUUUUAUCUGAUUUUAACCUCUUAAGUGAAACUGACAAGAAGAUGAAGGUUGAAAAAUUAGCAGAGAAGUUAUCUAGUUUCUUGGAGGAAAAUAAAUGUUUGGUGGUACUCGAUGAUAUUUGGAACACCGAGUCUUGGGAUAGCUUAAAACCAGCAUUUUCAGCAAGGGAGACGAGAAGCAAGAUAUUACUCACCUCUCGGAACAAAGAGAUAGUUUCACAUGCUGACAGUAAAGGUUUCCUAUAUGAGUUGCAG